UCAGAUUGAAAAAAGUGUUAUGGAACAUGGUAUUUUAUAAAUAUCUUCAUCAUAGUUGUCAAACCUGAACAACGUCUGAUAUAAGAAUGGAAGGAUGGCCACUAUAUCAAUAAAUAAUUAUUUUUUCAGUAAAUAAUUUAUAUCUUAAUUUAAAUAAAAACUACGUAUACCAAAAUCUUGCAAAUUAAGCAAAGAAAAUAAACACCGCUUGAAAAAAAUAGAUAAGUAAUAAUUAAAUAAGGUACGAAAUGAGAAAUUGCAAAGGAUACUGACUCAUCAAUGAAGUUUUUCCGACCCCAAGAAAAAAGAAAAAAUUAAAUUAGAGAAAACGAAAAGAGGGAACAAAAACCCUAAGUGAAGGUUACAUACAUACCCACUGUCACCUAGAAUGAUGACUCUGACCAAUGUUCCUCUGCGUAAUGCCAUUGAUUGAUUCUGGAUUAUUAAGGAUUAUACUUGAUGGAUUUAUAUAUAGUUGCGGAGUUGAAUUGUGGAUCGAGGUUUGAGAGAUGAGAGAGAAAAUGGAUAUAUGAUAAAAAUAAGAGAAAGGGGGCACCAAUUUCGAUAAAUUUGAUUUUUUUUGGUCACCUACACUAUUUAGCUACACACUUGAAUUGCUUUCAACACCCUCUUAUUUAUUUUUAUNCAUAUUUCUUCUCAUAACAAUAUUUAAUUCUAACCAGAACAAUAAUCCUAAAAACAAUAACCCUUGGGCUUGUAUAUCUGAUAAAGAUUGUCAAAAAGUACAUGGGGUGAAUAUUAGGUGUCGUAAAGGUUUUUGUACAGUGAUUUGAAACAUACCACUAAGAUGAAGUACCUCUUGUACUUGGAAACAAUAGUGCUUAUCUUGGAAUAAUUUACUUGCUGAAGUUUAGUCUUUGUUCUUGCACUGAAUAAUUGUUUUUUUCUUCCUAGUUCAUAGUUCUUCAAAUUAUUAUUUUGUACUACAAGAUGGUGAAAAUGAAAUGAUAUAAGUGUUUACAAGUGUUUUUGAUAAACUGUAAAUCUAGUUUUAAUUAUUAAAAGAAGGAUCAAACUAGAAAUCAAUCCUAGAAUAUGUUGUGCAAUCGUUUUCCAAAAAAUAAAUGAAUUUUCAUCGUAUUUAUAGGUUUCGUUAUGAACAAGACAAAUUUAUGUUUAAAAAAGAUAAUGAUUCUAUAAUUUUAAGGGUUUUUAAAAAGAUAAAACUAUUUACUCAAUAUUAUAAGAUCAUUUUUUUUGACAAGUAAUAUUAUAAGACCAUGGAAUUUAUACACUAUAAAGAGAUCAAGUCAUGUGCUAUUGUUUAGAUACAAAGAGAGAAAUAUAUGGAUAAAACUCUAAAGUUUACGAUAUUUUUAAAGUUUAUUUGAAGGACAAAGUCAUUAAAAGAUAAAUACAUAAUAUUUAUAUUUAUCUUUUUUAAAAACCCUUCAUAAAAUUAUAGAAUCAUUAUCAAAUGUCUCUUAAGUAUGUCAGUCUGUUAUGUAAGAUCCAGGUAUUUAUCUCAUUUUUAUGUUAAAUUAUUUUAUUAUAAUUUAACCUUAAGGUGUUUUAUUCUUGCGAGCGAUGAUAUUAUUUUAUAAGUUUUCAAAUUUUAUAGAUAAUACGUGCUUCUAAUUAUUUAAUUAAUACAAUAUUUAUUUUAUUUUUCACUCCAAAAAAAUUAAUUAAAAUUAUUUUAGUUUAAUUUAGCACCGCCUAUUUUAUUAUAUAUUUCUUUUUGCGAGGAUCUAUUUAUUAGAUUAUGAACGUAAUAAUAGACUCUAUAAUAAUAUCCAAACCACCAUGGAACAACUAGUAGAAAAAGUUAAAUAUCACUCUUUGUGGUGGCUAAAGGCUAAGAAGGCCAACUUUAUGUACGGUUCACAAAGACGGUGGUCGGACCCUUUAUUAUGUUUGGGUAUCAACCGACUAGCACAUUGACUCUUCAUUGUAUGGUUGACUAUUUCUAGGGAUGGCACUUUUAGUACAUCUUGUACUUAGGUGUUUCACUGCCGUUGUUAAUAUAUCCCAUUUUUAUGUCUUCAAAAAAAAGAUUAUGAGUAUCAGUAAUAAUAAAUUAAAUAAUUUUUGACCAAAAUACAGUCAUGGUUGGAAAUUUAUUUUGUGGAUACCUUAUAACCACUAUUGCCUAUUAAUUUGAUAAAAGAAUUGACUUGCAUUAGUUAAAGCAUCAUGUAAUUUUGAGUGGAUUUCUUCUAUUUUCAAUAUACAUAGGCUUAGAGUAACUCCCUAUUAGCACAGCGUUAGGUUUCUUGUGGUGCAAGCAAAACAAAACUAGGGUUUCAAUGGAGAAGAUGAAGUUGGUUAUGGUGGUUGAAGUUAGUUGAAGGGAGAGAGUAUUGAAUUGAAAAUUUUAUUCACACACAAAUGAUUGAGUUACAAGCAAAUAUAUAUACAAUGACUUAUAGAGUAAGUCUCUUGUAACUAACUAAAGUGAAGUUUAUCCAAACUAACAAACUAAACUCUUAAGUGUUUGUUAAUCAUUUGGAUAUAUAUAAUUUUGUUUUAGCUUCUUAAAAAAAAUCACUUGAUCUUACUAAUAAUUUAUUCACGUGUAACCUUUGCUUCUCUCUUAGCUUGAUCCAGUGGUAACCUGUCUUUUAUUUUACUUUUUUGUUAAAUAGCUUAAUGGAGAUCAAAUGGUCCACUGACUAGACUCUAGGCAUGGCAAUGAGGCAGGGUAGAAACGAGUUUCACCUUCUCCGUCCCCAUAUUCUACAAUUAUUUAUUUACCCGUUACGCUACCCAUAUUCAACGGGGAUGAGAAAUUGAAUCUCAUUCUUGUCCCCGAUAGAUUCAGGUCUCCCCGCCCCAUUUUCAUCCCAGAGUGGAUAUAUAUUUUUAAUAAAAAUAAAAGUAUUUUUCAGCCUUGAGUGCAAUGUUGUAAUGCAAUAUUGAAUAAAGAGAUGAUGACGAUCAAUGACUAUGUUGAUGGAGAAGAGAGAGGAGAGUGUGAGAUAUGAAAGGAGAAAAAGAGAAUUAUGAUAAGUGAUUGUCAUCUUAAAGAACGAGACUUUGUCACGUGAGUGAAAUGAUUUAAGAUUUGAGUUUCUAUUUAUAUAAAAUAGGUAAUAAAUUAAUUUUCUACAUUCAUGACAGGUUUGGGAGUUGCAAAAUUUUAUAAAUGUAGAUUAGCAAGAAUUGCAAGAAUAACAAAUGAUCAUUUGUUUAAACCAUUAAGCCGAUGGUCGCACAAUUCGGUUUGAUGGAAAUCACUUCGGCUAAGCUUUAUAGAUGGUUCAUUCUUGCUUUUCUUGCCAUGAGAUUUUGUAAUAUUUUUCAUUAUCCAUAAAAUUUAUAUAUUUGUUUUACAUCUUAACAAAUGCAUGACCCUUUUUUAUGAGAAAUGAAACUCUUUUUUUUCACCCAAUAAUUUAAGAUAUACUUAUAUUAUUUGUAUGAUUUAUAUGAUUUAUUUUGAUGAGUGAUAUUUUGUUAUGAUAUAUGUUGGUAUUUAUUAGUAUAAUAUAUAUGCUAUUUGAUUUAGAAAUAUAUAUAUAUUAUUUGAUUUAGAAAUAUAUAUAUGUUAUUUGGUUUAGAAAUAUAAAUGUCAUUUGAUUUAGAAAUAUAUAUGUUAUUUGGUUUAGAAAUAUAAAUGUUAUUUGAUUUAAAAAUAUAUGUUAUUUGAUUUCGAAAUAUAUAUGUUAUUUGAUUUAGAAAUAUAUAUAUAUAUGUGUUAUUUGGAUUAGAAAUAUAAAUGUUAUUUGUGAUAGAAAUACAUAUGAUUUGUUGCAGAAAUAAAUGUGAUUUGUUAUAGAAAUAAAUGUUAUUUGUUGUAGAAAUACACAUGAUUUGAUGUAGAAAUAUAUUUCUUAUUUGGUGUAGAAAUAUAUAUAUAUGUUAUAGAGAUAUAAUUGUUAUUUGUUACAUAAAUAUUUUAUAUAUAUAUAUUAGAAUAGAAUAUUGAGAUUUUGGUAGGCAAUCUAAUAUAUUUUUGUACUAGAUAAUAUAUUUUUGUACUUAAUAUAAUAUAUUUUGGUACUCAAUUGAUAUAUUUAAUUACUAGAUCUAAUAGGUGCAUUACUUGUUUCCAAAGUUUCUCACUUAUUAGUUGUAAAUUAUCUCUAUAAAUAGANNNNNNNNNNNNNNNNNNNNNNNNNNNNNNNNNNNNNNNNNNNNNNNNNNNNNNNNNNNNNNNNNNNNNNNNNNNNNNNNNNNNNNNNNNNNNNNNNNNNUUUUGAGGGAAGAGAGAGAAAAGUGUUUCUCAAUUGUUUAUAAUACUUUUUUUAUUUAUUUUAUUUUGACUAUUGUUGACCAAAAAAUUUAACACGUGAAUGAAUAAUGAAUGGGUACUUGUUACUCUUUUAAUACUUGUAUUUUUUUUUUUUUUUAGGGAUGGUAUUUUAUUUUAUUUUUUUUUGAAGGAGGGGAUGGUACUUGUUGUAUUGGAUGUAACACUUUUACUCAAUUGUUACUAUAUCAGCUAACAAUUUUUCAAGUGUUGCAAUCACGUUGUUGCUAAAAGUCAUUAUUGUAGUAGUGCGUGAAUCAAUGCUUCGUGUGCCUCCGUGGUUUUUAUCUCCUUUCACUUCUGCUGGAUGUUGCGUCAACCAACCUAGGAAUAAAAUCCCACAUCCCUUUAUAUUUCAGCAUGUUUCCACUUGUUAAUUUCUAUUCUUUUUUUUUUCUUUUCUUUUGUUGCACCUCCUUCUUUCCAACUUCAAACCAAUUCAAUCAAAAGUCUUUUUUUUUUUAUUUUUUAUUGGCCAUCGUAACAUUUAAGUUGCUAAUGUUUUCUUCUUUUUUAUCAUAGCUUAUGACCACACACAACCUAACUAAAUAAUAAUACUAAUAGUAAUAUUCACGGUUUGACUCAAUAAAUUAAAAGUGACCAUUUAUUUAAAAUCACUCUAAAUUAAAUACACUGACAAUGCAACCAUAAAGUACUUGAUCACCAAAUCCGAUUCCAAGCGGAGUCUCAUUCGAUGCUCUUGCUUCAAGAGUUUGAUUUGGAAAUCAAAGAAAAAAGGGUGACCGAAAACAUGGUGGCCAAUCAUCUUUCAAGCUUGGUGAAUGAUGAAGUAACAAUGAAUGAGAAAGAGGUGCUUGAAGAAUUCCCGGAUGAAAAGUUGCUAAUGGUGCAAGAAAGGUCAUGGUUUGCCUACAUGGCAAACUAUAAAGCAACGGGGUUCAUUCCGAAGAAUUUCACUUGGCAAUAAAAGAAGAAGUUUCUAUGUGAUUCCGCACAAUAUGUAUGGGAUGAUCCCUAUUUGUUAAAAAUUGGAGCAGAUGAUGGAUUAGUAUGGAGGUCUGCCAUAAAAGAUGACGGCAUACCAUAAGUUUGGUUUCUAUCGAAUAACCAUGUAUUCAGAAAUGAUUGACUUCCAAAACCAACUUAUGAUUGUGCAACAACAGCAACGGUUGAUGCCCAGCGGGUAUCGUCGAAGAAACGUGAGUGGGAACCAUUGCCCCCAACGUUUCUAUAUGACUUACGCCAGCGGUUGGCAUAACUGGUGGAUUUUGCGGUUGUGAAGUAACUUCCAAUGUUGCAUCUUCCAUCGAUGGAUCUGAUGGACUAGAUUGUUAAUCUUUGUUACGUGUAUUACGUACCAUUUAUGGGAGUUUCUUUUUGCUCCUUAAGAACAUGCACAACAAAAAUCAGAAGAUUUAAAGACAGAAAACGAACAAAUUAUUCAGAAAAACUGCUUUAUCUGAAUAUUUCUAACACAAAUAACACAAACAGUCCCACUGGGCGUGCCAAUUUGUUUAUCCUGGUUCUUAGUAAACAAACGUUGGUUUUCGUAAACGAUUAACUUGAGAGAUCAACCAGUAUCUCGGGGCAUAUUGUGAUUAUGUUUGAUAGAAAUUGCGAACGUUCUUGAUGUAAACCAAAAAGUGUAAGAAUCGGGAUCGAACACGCGUCUAAUCCUUGAAGCAGGUUGCUAAGAAAAAAGGAUGAAUUACAACGAAUUUAAGGGAAAAGCUAAAAUUGCAUAAAUGAAUUAAAAGUGGUACACAGAUUCAUACAUUGGCAACUUGUAUACUCGUUUCUCCUAUAGUGCGGAUAAUUUGAGCGUGUAAGUCUUGUGUGUAUGUGAAUUUAGUCGUUUUCCCUAUGGAUGUAACCGCUAAAAACUACCCUAGGUAUCAUUUCAAUUUCAAAUGAAUAUCUCUUCGACAAUAACUGCUUUUGGCUCGUCUAUCUAGUACCAACUUCUCUUUGAUGUUCUACUUGUUUGUCGAAGCCUCUCCAUCGAACGGCGAAAUCUCUUUAAGUUCACGAACCUGGUUCAGCUUCUGAGUCGAAAUCGAUCAGACUUCUCCACAACUUGAGUCAAACUUGAUUGACCCUAUUUAUUAUAGCCUGUCGAAAAUACAGGCUAAUAGCAGGACUAUAGACAAAAAAGUUAAAUGUCUUUAAAUAAAGUAUAGGUGUUUUGGAAGAUCAAAUGAGAGCAAUGGAAUUUAAAAAAAGGAAGCUAGUGUUGCAAGAAUGAAGACAGAGUCUGAAGACCAUCAGAAAUUGUCUACUAGAGUCUGAAGACAAGGAGUGUUUGAAGACUAUCAGAAGCUGACAUCAUCAGAAAGUCUAAAGAACCAUCAGAAGCUAAAGUUCAUCAAAGUCUGAAGACUAGAAGCUGAAGUUAGUUAAAUGUUGUUAUUCUGAAUACAUAUGAUUGCAGAAUGAAUGGAAGCCUGGAGCUAAUGAUGAAGCAAGAAAAAUCAUGUGGCAUUGUCAUAAUUCACCAUAUGGUGGACGCUUCAACGGAGAAAGAAUGGCUGCAAAAGUUAUUCGAUUCGGGUUAUAUAUGCCUACACUUUUCAAAGAUGAAUAGGCACAUUGUCAACAUUGUGAAAAUUGUCAAAAGACCGAUGGAAUCUCAAGAAAGAAUAGAAUGUUGUUGCAAACCAUUCUUGAAGUUGAAGUAUUUGAUUGUUGGGGGAUUGACUGUGUUGGUCCAUUUCCAUCUUCGUACUCAACUGAAUACAUCUUGGUUGCGCUUGACUACGUCUCUAAAUGAAUGCAUCACAAAGCUAGGGAUGGUAGAUAUCUACCAACCUCUAGCUUGUGGGGGGUACUAGAAGAAGAGGCUCGGAAGGAAGAUAACACGUAAAUAGCAUCUAGGGUUCUUAGUUUGCUUAGCGUGCAAGUUAUCUCAUUUUACAUGUAAUUUCAUUUGCAUUUUAGUUUCAUUUGGUUAGAUAGAAGUUAGUUAUACUUAGUUGUUAUAACCAACUUCUAUAUAUACCCUCAUUGUAAAAGAAUUUGGUUAAUUCAAUCAUAAUCAAUUUCACUUCAUUUUUCUCUUUCUUAUUUGUAUGAAACUCUUAGACAUGCCUCUACGCAUGAGCCGGAUUAGUCGCUCAUCUUUGGUGGGUCGGAAAACGGUGCAAAAGCCCAAAAAAAAAAUGAAUCUCUUACGAGUUUUAUUUUUUGACUUAAUACAUCCCCCGAUCCCUUAACUUAUUUUAUUUUCUCAGUUUGAUCCCUUAAUUAUUGAGCGUCUCAAUUUGGUCCCAUAAUUCUUCUAUCGUUUACUAUUGUGGUCCUUUCCGUUAACCUCUUAUCCACUUGUCAUUUAAGAUUGGUGAUCAAUGGCUGAAUUUAGAAAGCGCACAAAUAUACAAUGAACUCACAACAUAGGAUCAUAUUCAUUUCUAUUGAAUUUCUUACUAAUAAAAAUUAAAAAAGAAAUAAAAAAAAUUAUCUUCUCAUCCCGUGUUCCCUUUGUCCUCUUCUUUCUUCCUCCAAUCUUGUUCAUCCCCUUCCCUCUUUGUUCAUCUUCUCUUCUUCCAAUCUUUCAUAAAAAACUCAUUUUCGAAUUCCAAUCCUUCAUCAUCAGCAUUAAUCCUUUCAUAUUCCAAUCUAAACCCAUUUUUGGAUCUAAUCUAAACACUUCCAAAUCCCAAUCUAAACCCAUUUUCUUGUUGUUGUGUUGUUGUUGGGGAGCGGAUUUGGACCGGAUUAAAAGGGAAAAAUCGGAAUCAGAUUUGGGGAGCAGAUUUGUUGUGUUGAUGUUGUGCUACGUUUUUGUUCCUUUUGCUGCACUGUUGUUCCUUUAUGCAUUUUUGUUCUUGGAAAAUUAAUUCCAAUCCAAUUUUGAUUCCAAUUCCUUGUGCGAUGUUCCUUCUGUAUUGUUUCCUUUUGCGUUUUUGUUGUUGUUCUUUUCAGAUUUACCAAUUCAAUUCUAGUUUUCUUUUUAAUAUUUUUAUUUUUCACAAGCAGUUUUUUUUUUAAUAUUAAUAUUAAUAAUGGGUUUCAAUUAAUUUGAGAUUUUGGUGAAGGAUUUAAAUUAAUUUUUCUGGUUUUAUAAGAACAUAGUAUUUAAGAUGAAGAUCAUGAGAAAGAAAAGAGAAGGAGAAUGAGAAUGUUUUAUUUUUUAGGAAUGAUUCUGAUAGUAUUUUUUUUUUUUAAGAAUGUUAAGGAAAAUAAAAUGAAGAUGAUGAUUCUAGUAGUAUUUUUUAUUUUCGGGUUUUUUUCUUUCUUUUAAGAUGAUGAAUAAUGAGAGUUUUAUUUGGAGAUGAUUUUGGGAAGAAGAUGGAGGAAAAAAAUUAGGUGUUUGUGGUUCAUUAUAAGCUACAGUAUAUCUCUCCUUGAUCCAACGACAGUCUUCAUUUAAAAGAAAAAGAUCAAACGGUUAAAAAUAAAAGAUUUAAAGGUUAAUAGGCCUUUACCCCCUGUAAUAUACGUCACUUUUGGUUUUGCCCCCUGUAAAAAAAAAACUUUCGAUUCGGUCUUUGUAAAAUUUUUUUGUUUUGGAAAACCCCUUAGACCAGCUGACUGUAUAUUUUUGCUGAUGUGGCAUGCCCCGUCAUCUUUUUUGGAUGACGUGGCGGGCUGACUGUAUAAUUAUUUUUAUUUUUUUUAUAGGGUACACGUGGCAUUAAUGAUUUUUUUUUUAAAAAUUCUUAAAAUAUUUUAAAAAACGAAAAAAUAUUAUAAAAAAAUGAAAUAAAUUCUAGAAAAUAAAAAUAUUAAUAAAAAUGAUUAAAAAAACGAAAAAUAAUUAUGAAAAAAUUAAUUAAAAUCUGGUAAAUGAAAAAUAAUGAAAAAAUAUAAAAAAUUUAGUAAAAAAAAUUCUGGAAUAAUUUUAAAAAUCUGGUAAAAUGAAAAAAAUCUAGAAAAUUUAAUAAAAUAAAAUCUGAAAAAAUUAAUAUAUUUCAAGAAAUUCAUAUAUCCAUAUUAUUUUCAAUAGAGGAAAAAUUUAAAAAUUCUAGAAAAAAAAAAUCAUAUUUUUUUUUUCGAAAUUAAGAAGUUUUAAUUUAUAAAAAAAUAAAAAAUUCAGCAACUUAAAGUAUUUCAAAAUUUAUGAAUCUAAUAAGAAUAGAAUUAAAAAUGAAAGUUCAGAUUUUUCUUUCAAAAUUAAAAAGUUUGUUUUUUUAUUUUUUAUACAGAAAAUCAAAAUAUUGGAAAGUAUAUUCAUAAUUAAAAAAACAUAACAUUAGAUCGUGAAGAAUAUAAUUUCGAUAUACAUUAAUUUUUUUUUAUAGAAUUUCGAUUUUUUUAUAAUUUUAAUUUAAUUCAGAUUUUUUUAAUAAUUUUAUUGAAAAUUUUGAUAUAUAUUAAAUUUUUUUUUAUUUUUCCAGAUUUUUUUAUUAAAUUUUCUAGAUUUUACUAGAAUUUUUAAAUUUUUCCAGAUUUUUUUAAAUUUUAUUUAUUUUUCCAUAAUUAUUUUUCGUUUUUUUAAUCAUUUUUAUUUUUCCAGAAUUUAUUUUAUUUUUUCGUUUUUUUAAAUUUUUUAAGAAUUUUUUUUAAAAAAAUCAUUAAUGCCACAUAUACCCUAUAAAAAAAAAAAAAAUUAUACAGUCAGCCCGCCACGUCAUCCAAAAAAGUGACGGAACAUGCCACAUCAGCAAAAAUGCACAGUCAGCUGGUCUAGGGGGGUUUUCCAAAACAAAAAAAUUUUACAAGGAUCGAAUCUAAAGUUUUUUUUUUACAGGGGGCAAAACCAAAAGUGACCUAUAUUACAGGGGGUAAAGACCUAUUAACCCAAGAUUUAAUAAGGUCUAUGGUGGACCACCUAUAAAGUUGGUUCACCUUAGACAUUUAAGGUUAAAAAGUAACGGAGAGGACCAAAAUAGUAAACGACAAAAGAAUUAUGAGACCAAAUUAAGACACUUAAUAGUUAAGGGAUCAAACUGAGAAAAUAAAAUAAGUUAAGGGACUGGGGAUGUAUUAAGCCUUAUUUUUUCCAAAGUUUACUAACCUUGCCUCAUUUUUCUGACCUAAAAAACAGUUUUUAUGCAAGUGACUUAUUCAAAAUCAGAAUUUUUCAAAACCUGAAUUUUCACGAAAUAUUAGGAUAAGCCUUGGCCUAUAUUUCUGCUUUUAGUGACUCAUUCAAAAGCUUAAUUUUUCACAUGUAUGCAGAAUACAAGCAACACACUGGAAGAAGAAAAAAAGAUACACCCACAACAAACAAACAAUACCAUUUUCUCUUCCAAUUUUCCUUUCUAAGUUACAUCUCCCAUUAUAAGAUAGGAUGGUUUAUUUGUUGAAAAACUACAAGGUGAAGAAAAAUAUAAUAUCACAUCUUUCAAUAAAGAAGUUAAAUAAAAAUAUCACCUCGUUGAUGAUCAAAUCAAAUUAAAAACUGUUGAAGACAAACACUUUUUAACUUUAUUUGAUCAUCAACGAGGUGAUGAUAUAUUGAUUUAACUUUUAUGUUGAAAGAUGUGAUCUUAUCUUGUCUCUUGAUCUUGAUCUCUAAGGUAAAUUUGAGUUGUUCUAUUCUAUAAUCUUAGGUUUAUGUGAUGAUUUAUGUUAAGCAAAGAUAAGUUUACUUGAUUUGUCUCUUAUUUAUUCUCAUUAUUAUUCCAUUGAAGUUUAUAUUUAUAUGUUGAUUAUUAUUUGAAGAUAAUUGUAUGCCUAAUUUCUACUACAAUCUUAAUGAAUUAUUCAUUGUUUUUUUUUUUGUGUUAUUUAUGUGGCUUCUUCAUCUAACGAAAUGUGACUCAUGGAAUUUGUGGUGUAGUUUAUUGACGGAUGUGGCAAUGUUUGAUUAUUGAUCAUGAGAUUCAAGAUUCUGGCAAAAGGGCUCUUCUUAACAAAGAGGUAUUUUAAUGCUAUAAUUUGAUGUGGUAUUGGCAUCAUAAAUUUAGUAAAUUUUCAUAUUUGAUGUGGUAUUGGUAGAUUUUGUUUAUUUAAGUAAUCUAAGUAUAAAUUAGUGCAGAAACAAUAGUUAAUAAUUAGACUUGACUCUCCAAAUUAUACAUUAUUUGAAUUUCUCUUCUCUCUUUUCAGCAUCACUUGUUGGACAACGACCCAUGAAAUUCUUCGUUUUACCACAUUUUUUGUUUCAUGGAUAUGUUAUGUCACAUCAAAUUUAGAUGGCAUAACAAGUUCAUGAAACGAAAAAGAAGGUCAGGUAGAGAAUGGACGUUGUCAACAGGUGAAGCCAAAGAGAGAGGAGAGAAAAUCAAAACAAUGUGACAAAUUAUCUACCUUGCAUUAUUAGCACAUGGCAUACAACAACAAGAAAUCAAAUCUCAUUCCACUUAGUAGGGUUAGCUAUUAGCACAUGGCAUAAUGACAAAUUAAACAUCACCUCACAAUCAUUGUUCCUAUCAGCAACUUUGCUUUCUUAAUCUUCUCACAAGAAAAACAUUGCUUCAUUUCUUUAAAGGGUGGAUAAUUAGGUCUUAAGCAUAUGAUUUGAAGGAAAAAAUAUAUAUAAUAAUAAUAAUAAUAAUUGAAAAAAGAAAUUAAGAAGAAAAGAAAACAUGUGCAAUCAUAUGAAAUCCAGCUGAUAUGAGUUUGUUAAACCUUUCUGUAUGUUCUUUUUUUUCAAAUAUGACAUCAUCAAUAAGAUUAUAGUGACUGUUAAUUAUACAUGGCAAAUCAUAACUUCAACAAUUAUCUAAAGUUCAAGCUCUAGCAAAUUAAAUGUUAUAACUAUAUAAUAUUACUUCUAUGUUUCAUUCCUAAACUCAAUCCCAAAUGAAAGGGGAUUACAAAGAUAUAAAUAUUUUUUGUAAAGAUAGUAAAAAAUAUAUAUCCAUCACACACUUUUAGUUAUAUAUUAUUUACAUAUAUACUCAUGCCUCUUUAUAUCAUCAUUAAUAAUACAAACUAAACUUUACUAAGAAACACAUAAGAAGCAAUUAUGCCAAUAAAGUAGGCUUCUUUAAGUGGUAUUGCUUAAACCUCUGCCUUGAGUACUCCUUGUAGUCAAAAUCAAUUGUAUUGACAUAACUCUGCAAAAGGAACAAAAAAAAUUAAUUAUGAUUAUCAAGUCAUGAUUUAAAUCGUGAGUCGAAUCUUAUUAUGAAUCGUAAAAUACAUUACUGAUAAAAAUAUGACAACCUAAGAAAAAUAUUUAGUGACGGUAACAUUAUAAGUUGAUAUGUCGUAUACGAGUCUCAAAGUAAUUCAAGGCUCAGGUCAUAAAUCAAUCAACAAAAGAAAAGUGACCGCGAUACAAAGUUGACACAAAAAAAGUGGUUAGCUACGCUAAAUUUGUGUAGUAUUAGAAUGAAUCGGGAUUCAAAUAGGGUUCAUAUCGAUUAGAUUCAAAUAGGGCUCACAUGUAUCGUAAGUCGUAACAUACUGAACACAGUGCAUUUAGCUUGAUAUAAGUAAGAUGUAGAGUAAUAUAAAAGUGAAAAGAAAAAAGCUUACUGAAAUAAGUCCCCACAAGCCCCAAAAUAGAUGGUUUGCAAGAGUGUACUUUUCCACAAGAUUCGCUAACUGAUCCACUUGAGCACCACUUGGCUUUUCUCCUGUGUACAAGUUUACAAAUAAACAUUUUGAAGGCUUGAAUGUGAUCUAAUUUUAGUUAAAUUAAAGAGUGCAUAAGCAACUUCGAAAAAUAUGCACAUAUUUUUUGAAGUGGCCAUUUUCAACAGUUUUCAAGGAUAUUUGAACUCCAUUUCUUGAAGUUACAAGGUCAAACUCUUAUCGUUGAGUUAUAAAUUAGCAUAUAAUCGAACAGACGAAUGCUAGCUAGCUUCACAUCGGAUAAGGAAGGAUAAUCGAUAAUCUAAACGGUGUUACAAUUCUUAUUGAUUAGGCCAACCGAAAUUGAAGAGAAAUAUGGUUUUCCAUAUUAACUUUUAGUUUCAUUUAUGCGCUAGAAAUUUAAGGUAACAGGGUUCUUACAUCAUUUACUCACAUAUAUGCAUGCUAGUGAAACAACUACUAGAAAAAUGGCGUGAAUUCAGUACCACAUAAAAUCAAACAAACUAUAGAAAAUGUUCAUUCAUUUGAGAAUAUAUGAAUAUCAAUUAUAAAAUUUCCAAUACCGGAUCUUUAACAAUCAAAUGCAUUAUCAGAGUGAAUUUGUUAGUGAAAUGGACUAACCUUCAGAACUCAAGUAUGUGUAAAUAAACCUUCGACGCUCCUCAAGAUCUGGUAUACCAUAAACAAAUUCAUGAUUCAGCAAUACAGAAUGAUCUCAAAAAAAUUAUUGAAAAUAGAAAGCCGUAAAAUGUAUGAGCAAUUCAUUUACCAGGAUAUUUACUGUAGUCAAGAACAUGAGGCGUGUCAGUGUGGUAAUUUGCGGCCAUUUCACAGAAAUGAUUUGCAAGGUCAUACGCAACAGGAUUGUAACUCGAGUACUCGUAGUCCUAUAUCAUUGAUAAGUAGAAAAAACAUGAAUGAAACGUAAGUUUAUAAAAAUGAUAUGACAGAUGAAAAAUGAAAAGGGCGUAGAAAGUGAUGGUACAUUAGUGAUGGUAUAAACUAUAAUGGCACCUACAAGAUUAAUUUUGACUAUGGAUUAUAAAAGUUAAACGGUAUAAACAUAUUAUAUAAGCACAAUUUAGAGUGAUUAAUCUUGAUAACUUACAAUUAAAGUGAUUGAUCUUGUUUCUUCAUCCAUCAUGAUGUUACCAUAUUGUAGAUCAUUGUGACAAAAACCAAUCUCUUGAUAUUCUUCUGAUAACAACGCCCGCAACAUACUUAACUCAGCAUCUAGAUUGUCCAAUCCAAAAUUUAUGAUAUCCUUUUGGGAGCACAAACUUUUAGCAUGAUUAAGCCAUUUCCUAGUAAAAUAUGGAAAGCAUAUUUAAUUCUUUAUACUAUAUAACAUUUUUUUAAUAUUGUUCUGAUUGAUAUUACUAGUACCUCAUUCUCUGCCAAAUCUGAGCCUUCUUUGCACCAGGCAUAUGAAGAUUGUGAAAUUCUUUCAUCUUCGAUGCUAUCAAAGAAGAUAUUUCAGGGUCGCGGAGGUCGGAAGCUGAAAGUGUCUGAAAUUCCAAAAACAAGAAGAAGAAAAAAAUGUUAUGUACAUAAUUGGAGGACCGAUACUUCUGAUUGAAAAUGUGUCAGGAGUCUUACAACGACUCGCGUGAUUGCAUUCAGUUAUUCUACUUGCUCAAAUUUUCCACAACUUUGAAUUUAUUUUUUCCCACAAGAAAGGAACAUGAACUUGGAUUUCUAUCAUGUUACUUACAACUGUCAUGAUUUGAAAUAAAGGGAAAAAAACAAUUAUUGUUGUAGGGCCAAUUUUUUGUCUCUUUCUAACAAUAUGACAUUGCCAUGUUACUAUGCAACACAAAAGAAUCUGGGUGAUAUGAAGUCACAGCUUCUAUGAUCUAUUGCCAUGUUAUGAUGAUUGAAAAUGAUUUUGUUUACUAUAUAUAUAUAUAUAUAUAUAUAUAUAUAUAUAUAUAUAUAUAUAUAUAUAUAUAUAUAACUAAUCAUUAUUAAACAUAUGAAAAAUGUCUGUUUUGAGUUUCUGUCCAUCUCUAUGAGGUCUUCCACAACUCAUAGUGUUUGGUAUUAUUUGGAUUUUUUUGUGGUGGCCGAGGAAUUCCGGACCUUGCAUAUAUUAUGCAUUUGUCCCUGCCAACUGAACUAACAUCACAAGGACGGUAUUGUUUGGAUUUAAUAAAGGCAUACCUAUCAUUUGUUUUAUACAAUAUACAUGUAAAUCCUUUUAUGCUUGUAUAUAAAAAACAAAGGCAAAUAAUUAAUUGCAAGAGUGAUAUAUUAAAAUAUUUGUAUUUAAACCAUCUAUGAAAUAAACUAGAGAAUGGAAUAAGUAUUUCCAGAAGCCUUUCAAAGCUAAGCAUUUUUCUAUUAUUUCUUUUUCCUGAAAGACCAUUCAUGUUAGAGAGGCUAAACUUCAAUUCCUCCAAAGUUAGAGAGAGAGAGAGAUAGAAAGAGAGAGAGUCAGGGCCGUAUCUGAAGCAGGACGAAGAGGGCGACCGCCCAAAGCCCAAAAAAAUAAGUACGAAAUUUGGGCCCCAAUUUUUUUUAGGGGUCUAUUAGGCCCUAAAAAAAGUUGAUUAGUUUUUUGUAUCAAGUUUGAUGUUUAUAUAUAUAUAUAUAUAUUAGUUAGGACCCAAAUUGUAGGUUCGCCCUAGCCACCAAAAUCUAAAGACCCUAGAGAGAGAGAAUAUAUAAUAUAAAAAUAGAAAAACCAAAGAAAAGCUUUUGGACUAAAAUACAAUAAAGCAGAUUGGAAAAGAAAAAGAGAAGAACCAAAAAGAAAACCUUUUAGGACUAAAAUACAAUAAAGCAAAAGGGAAAAGAAAGAUCUUAGAGACUUCAAAAUUAGCAUUAAUUCUCCCAUCCACAGAAACCACUAUAAUGUAAUUAUCAUUGCAACUUUCAUAACAUUUACUUAUCAAACAUUCAAAAUAUUUUCUAUUAUUUUAUUUCAAGUUGUUAAAGAUUUAUACAUGAAAAAAAUGAACUACCAUUUAUUAUUAGAACUAAUUGAUCUGAAUAGAGACUCAAUAUUUUUGUAUUUUAAUCCACAAACCAAUGAAUAGAAAAAACACAAGAUUUUUAUUUUAUCAACAUAGAUCGCCUUCUAUCGGAGGUAAUCUCAUUCAAGUCAGUCGUUUAACUCUAGGUAUGAAUUUUUCUUGUACCAGAAUUGAAAAGAUUUUCACGAUUACGAGAGACUAGUCAUUUUUGCUAGACUCAACUUAACUACCUUUGACUUAUUAAAGAAAACACAAGAUGAUACUAAUCACAUACCCGGGCAUGAAUGAACUCUUCAACUCGACCAGUCGUGAACCGACCAAGAAGGCGUGGACCCUGUCCGUUCUUCGACAUACACUCAAAUGUUUGGAUUUCAUCAUCCCUAUUGAAGAAAACCUCAACACCUUCACCAUAUAAUCGAACCAAAACCCUUCUAAGAUGACCAUCGCUUUUCGUCGGCCAAUUCACCUCAAAAACCUGAUUUGUCAUUGCACCCUUUAAGGGAUUCACCUCCACAGUACUCACAUCAUCAAUCACAUCACCUAAAUCUACAGCCACAGCUGCAAGAACUUUCAUUAUCUCUUCAUGAGUUUCACACCCUUUCAACAAUUCAAAUGUCUUUAAAGCCAUCACUUUCUGCAUGUGGAUAAAAACAUGUCAAAUUAAUGUUAAGGUAUGAUGAUUUUCCAUGAACAUAAAAUCAGAAAAUCUUGAUGACCCUGUUGAGAAAAAAAACAUCAUAAUUGAUUAUCAUUUAUCAAGUUUAAUUUUUUUUUUUCAUCAAAAAAUGUAUAAAACUUAUAACAUAAAGUUUAACAAUAACCCUUUUGAAUAAAAACAUGAAAAAUGAAAAAAAAUUGCAAUCUUUUUUAGAUUAAGUGAAUGAUAAAAUGGUUUGAAUUUGUAACAAUGGAUUCAAAACAGAGUAAAAAAACAAAGUAGUAAAAUAGAGUAGUUAAUUCAGAUAUUGAAAACACAGAAAAUUGUUGCAAUUAUAAUCAAAAGUGAAACAUGCAAACAAAGAAAUAAGCAUAUAGUUUCAAGAAAAAAUAUUAGAAAUUGAAAACAUUAAUUGAAAUUAUAAGAAAUGAUAGAUGAGAAAGACUAACCUUUGAAGCAGAACAAAAAUAUGAAGUUGAGUCAAGCAAACAGAAACCACUACAAUGAAGAAUACAUGAAAAAAGUUAUAUAUAUUAUCGUCAAGACCAAGCAUCACAUUGACAUCAUAAAAUAAUAAAUGAAACACAUGAAGAAUGAUUAAAAAAAUAAAUAGAAAAAAAAAAAAAAGUUUGAGAAUAGACCAAAGAAGUAGUAGAGGAGAGAGAGAGCAAGAAGUGUUGAUUGUUUGGCUGAGAGAGAGAGAGACAGAUAGAUACCGACACAAAUGAUCUUUGUAUUAGUAUUGUGAAUGAACAAGUCAAACAAAAGUAUUGAAAAAAAAAAAACAAAGAAAGCUUGCAAAGAAGCAAUCUUUUGUCAACACAAAUAAUAAUAACCUAUGAACCAAUUUCGGUUCUCUCUGCUGUCAAUUUCGGUGGAUAAAUUCAGACAGAGUUAUAUCGUUAAAUGGAAAUAUGAUUACAGAGUUAUGUCUUUAAAUGGAAAUAGGAUUUCAUGCUAUUACAAUAGGGUACAGUAACCAAAAUCAGUCGUCCAAUCGAAAUUAUAUGACCCGGAUCGUUUUAAUUAAAAGACAUAGUUUUCAAUCUUUACCGUUCGAUCUCAGAUGAACGACCAAAAUCAAAAACUGUGUGAAAUUAUGGCUUUUGCUGCAGCGGCAAAACCAAAUCCCUUUAAAUAGGGCUCUCCCAAGUGAGCAGAGAAAUUGAUCUUUUUAAAUAAGUCGAUUUUUGAAUUAAAUAUCAAGUUCAAAAAUAAAAAGAAAAAAUAACCUAGGAACCAAGUACAAUUUUAUUGAUAUUUUUUUGAUAAAUCAUUGAAUUGUGUGCAUUAAAUAUUAUCUAUAUACUAUAUUAUUAUAUGGAAAAUACAGCAUGUCAAUGAAUUUUUCAAUGCUUUCUAUAAAAUGUGAUUGGACUUUUUUAUGUAUGUUUUGGACUUUGUGUAUUUUGGACGGUUGGAGAUUCUUGUGUGGGGGCCAUUUUUGUGGAAGAUGCAUGGUAACUGAUCAUGUAGAGAUUCUGUUUGCUGGUUGAAUAUUACUUUCAUAUAUUUAAGACACUCAUGUUUCUUCAUCAAUAGAUACAUAUUUGGAUAAAAACUUUCUAGGAGUUAGAUUCACCAAAGGGUGCCAUUUAAUUUGAUAAAGAAAAUUUCUUUCUCAUGAGAAAGUAAAUCUCAACCAUUAAAUUCAAGAGGAACAUUGAUUUUAUCAUAAUCUUUCUGCAUUAUAUUUUUUUCCCUUUAUCUUCAACCUUACAAUCAUCAACCAACACAAAUAAGUUUGUUUUCCUUCCAUGUUUUAAUCACGAAAUAUGUUUUUUCCUUGCUAAUUCUUUAGAAUUAGAUACUAGUUUUAAUCACGAAAUAUGUUUUUUUCUUCCUAAUUCUUUAGAAUUACUAAGUUUUUUUUGGCUAAAUUGCAUUUUUGAUCCCUUAAUUAUUUAGCUAGUAUCGCUUUGGUCCUUUAAUUAAAAUUCGAUUUAUUUUGGUCCUUUAACUUCUCUUUGUUAUACAUUUUGGUCUUUUCCGUUAGUUUUAAUUCAAAAACGUUAGGUUUUCUUCAUCUUCUUAUCCUCUUUUUCAUCUUCAUAUCAUCUCCAUCAAUCUUCAAUAACAAGAAUUCGAGAAAAAUUCCAGAAGAAAAUGAAGAAAAUCUAACGUUUUUGAAUUAAAAUUAACGGAAAAGACCAAAAUGUGUAACGGAAAGAAUUUAAGGGACCAAAAUAAAUCAAAUUUUAACUAAGGGACCAAAGUGAUACUACCUAAAUAGUUAAGGGAUAAAAAUGCAAUUUAGCCUUUUUUUUUGAAGGAGAAUUAAAUACUAGGUUAAAUACAUAUCACUAACACAUUUAUGUUUAUUGCUUAGUGCCUCCUCUACUCUUCAAUAAUAUUCAUGGUCUCCAGUUUCAACCUACCAGAUGUUUUUUACUACCUGCAGAUUUAACAGGGUGAUGACAUAAUGAAAGAAGAGAAAUAAUAUAAUGUAGAAGAUAAAGGGGAAAAAAUAUAAUGUAGAAAGACUAUGAUAAAAUCAAUGUUCCUCUUGAAUCUAAUGGUUGAGAUUUACUUUCCCAUGAUGGGAAAGAAGUUUGCUUUCCCAAAUUAAAUGGCACCUCACUUAAAGUUAUGGUAACUUUACUACCACAAAAAAACUUUACCUACACAUAGUUAUUUAAUGAGUAAUUACCCAACUUCCUUGAAUUUUUUAAAAUCAGCCAAAUUUAUCCUCAAAUUUUGCAAAAUGUCUAAUUCAUUCCCGAAUUUACAAAAUAUCAAUCAAAUCAGUCCCUCCAUUAAGUUGGCCUGUUAACAGAGGUGACAUGUACUAUUAACCUCUUACAAGCUUACCAUGUCAGAUGUCACGCAAGCAGAGACAAAUUUGGCUGAAAAUGAUGAAAUUAUCAAGGACCAAAUUGAUUGAUUUACAGAAAAUUGAAAAUUCCCCAACAUCUCUUUUUCCCCAACGUCUUUCUUCUCAACGUCUUUCUUUCCGAAAUAUAUAAAUUUGGAACCCUAAUUUUAUAAUUUGUCACAUAGAGUUCAAAAUCCCCAAAAUUUCUUCCAUUAAUUGAUGACAAAGUUCAUCCCCAUUUCUAAAAACUUAAAAACCUAAUUUUUUUUUUUUGAUUUAAUUCGAAAUCCAAAAAUCCCCAAAAAUUGUUCAAGCUUUGGCGUUCAGAAAUGAUGGGUGGUGGGCGUUUGGGCAAAAACAACCAUAACAGUUGGUCUUAAAUCAAUCAAAUCAGGCCUUAAAUUAUAACACUAUCCAUCAAAUCAGUCCUUAAAUUAUCACAAUAAGUAUCAAAUCGAUCCAUAUAUAUAGGGGUAUAAUUGAAAACACAUAAAAAAUGACAACUGAAAAGUAGAAACCGCAAGUUUUACCAUUUCCAUCAAAUUGGUCCUUGUACACGUGGCUUCCUUGUUGACACGUGUACAGGACAACACAUCAUGCAACAGGAUACAUCAUCAUCAGUAACGGAGCUUUUGAACGGAGGGACCAUUUUGAUGGACGUCUGUGAAAUUCAGGGAUGAAUUAGACAUUUCGCAAAAUUUGAGGACGAAUUUGGCUGAUUUUUAAAAAUUCAAGGACGAAGUUGGAUAAUUACUUGUUAUUCAAUCUUAGUAUGAGUUAGAAAAGUCUUGAAGCUCAGCAUUGUAGGCAUGGCUGCAUGACCAAUCGGGGGCGGUUUUUGUCAUCCCUAUUUUCCUCAUCGAUUUAUUGUAAAGUAUCUAUAUUCGUCUCUGAAGCUCGUCUAAUUUGAAAAUAGAGUAUUAAUCCUGGCAAAGACGCAUAUAUUUUUUCACCCUGUCUCAUUGAGUAAGAAUAAAUAGAUGGAUUUUCUCUCGUGAUGGCAAGAUGGAUGGAUUUGGAUUGUAAUGGCUGGAUCAAAAAAUCCAUUAAUCCAUUAAUAACCCACUAAAAAUCCAUUUUUAAAAUUCCAAAUUUUUUUAGGGAAUUUUUUAUUUUUAUUAUAUUUCAUUUAUUGGAUUUAUAUUAACGUUUGAAUUGAUCCUUUGGAUUUUGAAAAUAAGUUGAAUGGAUUAGAUUAAUUUUAUGGUCCAAAUCAAGUGCAUAAAAGAAGUUCUAAACUGAUGAAAAUGAUCUAAUGUGUUAGAUGGAUCCGCUGAAUGAAGACAAAGCCAAAUCCUAAGAAGCUGCCAAAUCUGACCAAAGAGGUUGCAGGUCAAAAAUAAAUGGUUCUCUAAUUCUUAAAAACAGCCACUAGUGAUAUAAAGUUGAGAGUCAAGAUGAAUAAUCCCUCUUCGAAAUAAAUAUUGUGUUAAUUAGUGGCGGAGACCUUUUAGGGCCAAGAUGGGCCACAACCCACCCCACAAAAAAAUAAAAUUAUUUUUAUAUGUUAAAUUAUUAAAAUAUUUUUGAUUUUUAACUAAAAUUACCUCGUGGUCCACCCUCUUCUCCAUCUCAGUAUGAUUUUUAUCACAAUUUCAAGUCAAUCGAAAUGUAUAGAUAAUUAUCUUGUAUUUUUAAGGUAUACAAUUUAUUUUUUUAUGGACAAUCUUUUGUUUAAUGUUUAUUAUAACAUAAAUUUUGUGUAUAUAUUAUGGUUUAUUUCUGUGGCCCACCCAAACAAUUUUUUCUAGCUCUGCCACCACUGGUGUUAAUAUUAUCAAUAUUAUGUUUCUAUACUUAAUUUAAUUGACAACACCGAUAUUGUUAAGUUUGAUAUCUUCACUUAAAUCCAAACCUAAAAUCCAGUAGUUGUGUGUGAGAAUUCACCUUUUUCAAGAUAAAUAAGUGAGAUGUCUAGGGUUCGAACAUCAACCCCUGCAUAUAACAAUGCAUGUAUCUGACAGCUGAGUUAUGCUCACGGAAACAAAAUUUUGUUUAUUUAAUUAAAUCCACAAUGUAAUUUUUAGUGCACAUGUAUCAAUCAAUAUAGGUUAGGUUCUAAAAUAUCUUCAAAAUCAUCUAUGCGGCAAAUUUGAUUGAUGCGUGUGGCAGAUUAGGCACGAAAUCAUCUAUGGGGCAGCUUUGAUUGAAUGCAUGCGAAAAAAUUAGAGAUUAAUAAUAAAUAGAUAUAAAAGAUUAAAAAAAAAAAUUAAAAAUUGGUCAAGAAAAUAUCAAAAUGUGUUAACCCUUAAAAAAUUAAGCAACCUACUAUAGCCAUCACAUUUCAUGAUUCACCUUAAAGACAUUUUCAAUACGUGUCUAUAUUAGGCAUCCUUUAUUAUCACCCACUCUUGUUCCUAAGAAUGUUAAAUAUCCAACCUAAUCCCACUACACUAGACCUUACACAAAGUCAAUGAAUACCAAAACCACAUGUUUAAUCCUAAACCAUAAAAUUAACCAAAUGCUAACAAAUCCUUAAAAAGACCAACUACACUUUCUAGUUAACUACAAAUCAUCAAACUAUAAAUAGUCAUAAACCCAUUUCAUGUUUUGUAUCAUAUCCCAUUUUUAGGUAUCAAUCACUAUCCCUAAUGGCUAGACCACUUUUAGUGAUCAACCCUUCACUAAGCACUUCAAAUAUUGGUUUUGCUGGUAUGAGCCUUAUGAUGUGUGUUGUUGCGUUGCUCAUGUGUGCUUCUCAUUCACGCAAAUGGCGUCAUUGGCUCGCUUGCAAUGCGUUUGCGGAGGAGCCUGUUAUAGAGCUGAACAAUGACGUUGUGACGAUGAAUGGUUGUGAACAACAACGGGAAGAGGAUUCGAUUUGGCAGAAGAAUAUACUUAUGGGUGGGAAGUGUCAACUCCCUGAUUUCUCUGGUGUCAUAAUCUAUGAUUCUGAUGGCAAUGUUGUAAACCCUGCUAGAACUUCUCUUCCAUUACUAACAUGGAAAUAAGGAUGCGAGGAACCACAACAAGUUUCUUCACUUGAAGAACUAGAUCAAAAUUAGAGUUCCACGAGCGGUGAAAUACAAGGCCUAUGUGUGAUAACAGUUUGACUUUAUUUUAUCUUCUGAUAGUAGUAGCUUUCAUAUAAACACUUAUAUGAUAAGUGUUUAUGUUAUAAGCACUUAAUUAAGUUGUUUAUCCAAACAUGUUCAUAAUAUAAUUUAAUGUCCUUUCAUUGUGGAAAUUAAAGCAUCAUGAAUCUUUAGUUUGAAAGUAUCUUUUUCAUAGGACAGCUCGGUGUACUAAAGCUCUUGCAUACACAGGUCUGGAAAGGAGUCUCAGCAAUCGGUGUAUUGUACGCAGCCUUACCCUGUUUUUUAUUUUUCAUAAAUAAAAAAAUAAAAUAAAAAAUUAACUUGGAUUAUUCAUAUCUGAAGAAGGAAAAAAAAUCAUGAAUUAUCACACUAUUCUUGCUAUAUAGAUAAAAUUGAAUCUGUCUGUCAAAAAGAACCAAUCUAAUACAAAACAAAGAGCCCUUUACUUACUACUGUGGUAUAACAUGAUUCCAAUCUACUUCACUAAAAUGUUUGUCUCUUAUCUGAGGAUGAUGCAUUCUUCCCCCUAAAUCCGACAACACUAAGUUUAGAACCUGUAGAUUUGGAGGCAGUGGUUCUUUUACCCGUUCGCUUAUCAUCUGAAGAAGCUUUCUUGAAGCUACUUGUACUGGAAGAUUUUACAGAUUUUGAAACGGUAAAUCCUUUUUUCGUAAACUUUGAUGGCGUUGAUUGUUUACCCGAUUUCGUACCUGACCUUGCAUUCUCUGUUCUGCUGCGAGAAUCAGAUUUGUCCCUAGUACCUGACCUGGUAUUCUCAGAUCUUCCGCGAGAAUCGGAUUUGUCCCUAGAACCUGACCUGGUAUUCUCAGAUCUGCCGCGAGUAUUGGAUUUGUCCCUAGAACCUGACCUGGUAUUCUCAGAUCUGCCGCGAGAAUCGGAUUUGUCCUUAGUACCUAAUCUGGUAUUCUUAGAACUGGUGCGAGAAUCAGAGAUGUCUCUAACUUUUGAAGGUUUAACCACAUUUUUGUUCUUUCUUCUCUGCUCAGUGAUUUGGUUUCUGGUUACAUCCAUUCGGACACUUUCUUUUGUGAUAGCCUCCAAAUUCUCAUUCUUUUUUAUUGCCUCCUCUAUUUUGGUUGCCAAGCUAUAGUCCUUUUUAGUAACCAGACUUGUUAUUUUCCCUGAAACAGAAAACGUGUGUUUUUAUUCUUCCCAAUACAUCAACAGCAAAGUUGUACAGCCACAAUUGAAAUGACGGAAAUACAAUUGUAAGCUAAAAUAUGACAAAAGACACGAAGCAGCAUGGAUUUUUUUGCUUGUUAAAGAAAACUUGCACAAUCCAUGCAGGUACAAUGUUGUACAUAACCCGUGUUAUCUUCUAAUUUAAAAACAAAAUUGUGGUCACUAUAAUGUGAGUAAAAGUCUGGUUGCAAAGUAAAUAUGCAAGAGCAUUGUUUACUGGCUUGUUGAUACCAUUUAUUACAAAUUAAAAUAAAAAAUAGAAGAGAAAUUUUUUCUAUAUUUGGUUAAAGAUAUGAAUACAUAAGAAUUUGUUACCUUUUGCACCCAUACGGGCAGUUCUACCUGUGCGAUGGAGGUAGUCAAUCUAAAAUUGAAUGGGAAAGUAAAGUAAGUAACCUAUUAAUAUUGAAAAAAGAAGGUAGUAUGAAGGGAGGGGGAGCUCACUGAAUUCAAAGGGAAGUCAAACAUGAUAACAUGAUCAACAUCCAAGUCCAGACCCCUAGCAGCCAAAUCUGUGCAAACCAAGGUGGGGCAAUCAUCGUUGUUACUCUUGAAUUUGUUGAGGUUUUCAACCCUGCGGUUAAAUGAAAAAGUAAUACAGGUAAGUGGGAAUAACAGGAAGUGAAGCAUCUGAUCUGAUGAGAGAAUGUCAAUCAAAGCACUAGCACUCAAAUGGCACCAUGUGCUUAAACGUUGUCAAAGCAAACUCAUAUGUAUUCUGCCCAUCCAGUGUUAUCAAAUAGCAGAUGUUGCGUAGCGGAAAUUGAACAAAUCACGAUUGUUCUAUGAUACGUUAGUUUGUACAAAGUGUUGUCAAAUAGAGGCUAUAGUGGUGCUAAUGCUAUAGAACUUCAGCAUAGCAGAAUUUGAACAAAACACUAUUUUCCACAAUCCACGAUAGACGACAAUGUGCCAAUCUUCCUCCAUUUUCUAUGUUCAUUAAUUCUAUAAGACAUGAGCUAUUAUUAAUUAUUAAUUAUAUACAUAUGCAUGUGAACAAAACAUUUUCACAACACUUUUUAAGAACAAGUGUUCACUCAUGUGAAUUAGCAUCAGAGGCAAUGUCAGGACAUGCAUGAAUCAAGGAUUAAACAACACCAUAAUGCUCUGUUAUGAAUUGAGUUCAAAGAUCGGGCACUUAACUCUGAAUUUUAUCAUAAUAGUUUGAUCUAUAGUAUUCCUUGGUCUAUCUACGUCUAACUACUAGAAUAAACUCCGAUAAUGUUUCCACAGGUAUUCCCCACACAUGUCUAAACCACCUAAGAUGAGACUUCAUAAAAAAUUCUACAAUGUGGGCGAGUUGUAUUCCAGAUGACAAACUCAUUCUGAGCCAGUGACAGACAAUUUGAUCCGCUAACAAUAGCCGCUAUUUGACAACACUUUUUACUAAAUCGUGUAUCGCGAAACAAUAGUGGUUUGUUAAAUUUUCUUUAUCCAAUAGCUGAUAUUUUACAACACUGGAUUAAGUUUGUGGCUGCUUGUGAUGCUCCCAAAGCAGGGAGCAUUGUUGUUUUUUCCAUAAGUGUCAAAGUGAGCCAAAACAGCUAACAUGGGUUGGCACCACAAGUUGAACCCACUUAAGCAGUGUCCUUUUGAUCCAUGAAAAUGUAAGCAUGUGUUUUACAAAUCCAGCGGUGAGCCGGAUAGGCUCGCACCGUAGGACUCAUUGAUACCUGAAUUUCUUCAUAGCCAUAGAUUUAGUGGCAUAAGAAAAUCAGUGAGUUGUAACACAAUUAUUGAGUAUCGAUAGUAAAAACAUAUCAUUCACUUUUCACUCGAAAUUAUUCCUUUUCCAUCCAAUCCCUAAAAUUUCAACAAUUGACAGUGCUAUUUCCUGGAGGCUUAACAACUCAUCUAAGCACACAGACUAUAACUACAACUACAUCACAAGUUCAGUACAGUAUUUGAUGUGAGAAGUAUCCAAACAAACUUAAAAUAUUACCUUUGCGCUGCCGGUACCUCCCCAUGGUAAUUAACGGUAGAUAUCUGAUUUUCUUCAAGAAAGUGAUCCACAGCACGACUAGAAUUCAAUGUGUUGCAGAAAACCAUUACCCUGUUACCCUUUGCAAGACUUGGCUCUAAUACCUGCAAUCACAUGAUCACAUAUUACAUAAUAUAAACCAAGGUGAAUCAAAACAACAUACAAUCCAACUAGUAAUCUGAUAGUGAAUAGCAUAUAUGGAAAAAAAACACCCUAGUUUUCAUUAUAUAACAGACAACUGACAAAAAUGUUGAGUAUUUGAAUUUGAGUAUGCGCAGAAUAAUAGAAAAAGUGCAAUAAAGUGCAUGUUACUGGCAUGGAAUAAAAGGGAUGUUUUGCAUUUUGCUUAUCAAAUAACCUGGCGUCAUAGUUUGGAGACCCUUUCCAAAGGAAAAUCUUGGUGGGAAGUGGGAACUAAAAAUGUAAUAAUGCACCAGUUGAAAACAUAAAAGCAUCUCCAAGUCAAUGUUCUAAAAUUUUAAGAACGGCUAAAAUAAACUUUUGAUUUUUCUAGCAUUGAUGUCGAGUGGCAUGGCAAUAAUAUGUAAGUAGAGUUUCCAUGAGUACAUGUUCUUACACUGAAAAGUGGUGAGUUGUGGGACCCCUUGAAGUAAAUUCAGAACACAACUACGAUUUUUGCAUUGGAGUAAUAAAAAUAGGUGAAUGUUCUUAAAUAACACAUGGAAACUUGGGGCCCACUAAAAGUAACUCAAGAACAUAAAGCAUUGUUCGUAAUUCAUUUCCUUGCAUUGGUUUUGGUGAUGCUCUAAAGUAUCGAAGAAUUGGCCAUACAAACCACUCACCAUGAGUUCCACAAAAAAACAAUUCAAUUCGCUAUAUACCAAAAUUCAUCGGUGAAAUAGUGCAUCAGCAAGCUGUUAGACUUAUUAUGGCAGUUAUGGGCAGUUAUUAUGUCAUUCAUCGGUGAAAUUGAGUAUGAAAUAGUUUUUGAAUGGUUUUGGGACGGAGAGACCAAGCUCUCGAAUUCAUGGAGGGAAAGACCAAGACUCUCGAAUUUCUUGGAUAAUAUUUAUGUAUACUAUCUCUUUUCGUAGUUUAUGUGUGAAUUCUACAUUAACUAUAACGUGUGGUGUAAUUGUGUUUGUUGUAAAUGCUUCUGCCAUCAAUAAAAGUCAGUGUCUACAAUUAAAUGUAUUUUGGUGAUGGUUUCUAUCAUAAACCUUACAGAUUUAGGGUUUCAUUACAUCGCAUCUCAACUCAACCACUCAAAAAACAAUCAUUAGUUAAUAUGUAUAAUGCAGAUCAUAAAAUUACAUAUACCUGAAGUAAUGAAUCCAGCUUGUUCUCAGUACCAGAAAGUUUUAUAAAAUCAUGACGAGCAUUAGAAAUCUUUUUAUGUAACGAGGAUGUGCGCAGAUGUACAAUGCCUUGAAACUCCUCAUCAACCAGAUUUUGCACAGCCUGAGAGAUUAAAAGAAGUCAACCCUUUGCAACUUCGGUAUCAAAUAUUAACCUAAAUUUUUUUCACUAGACUUAUGUAUAAUAGAGAUUGUGUUAUUGUUCAGAAGAGCAAAGAGCACUGCACUAUGCAUUUAAUUACCAGGUUACACUAGAGCCAUAGACGGUUUAAUUUGGUAAAAUGUUCUACUCAAGACGCUUCUCACAUCAGGUAUUUUUUAGAAUAUUAUCGGUGUAGAAAACAGAGGUGCUUACGAUAAUUAAAACUAGUUCAAAUGAAGAAAUGACAGUUUAUGAAAUCUGACUAUUCCACUACAUAUCUGAAUUAACAGAGCUAAAAUAUUUAAAACAUAAAGCUUAUGUUUUGCAAAUCAAAAUAUAAGCAAAAUAUUUAAAAUAUUUGAAAAUAAGCAUGUGAAGGGCAAUAAUACUAGAACCGAUUGUUUUUUUUCUGAAAAGUAGACCCGUUUGUUUUAUACAUAACAAGGGAUAAAAGGAUUGAGAAAGUCCAUAUCGAAUCAAAAUAAACUACUAUGAUCAUUUUACGAAUAAUCUUCUAAGUUAGUAAUAUUUACUUUGCAUGUAUGUGACCAACAAAAUUUUAGAACAAAUCAGCAUACCUUUGUCAUGGUAGCAGUUACCAAAACAGUCUGGAAACCUAGGCUGUCAGGUUUUGAAGCGCGAUGUUUUAAUGGGGCCAGGAAUUUUUUGAUAUCAGGACCAAAGCCCCGAUCAAACAUUGUGUCUGCCUCAUCUAAUACCUGCAAAACAAAGACUAUUGUCAGCAAGUGUAGUUAGUAGCUCAUUGUCAACAUUCAAAUUAUCAAUUUAAGAACACUUACCACAUAUUGGAUGUCACCGUAUACCAUAUUUCCUUCCUCGAUAUGUUGAAGAAUCCUGCCAGGGGUACCAACUACCAUAUCAAUGGGGUUACUAAGUGACUCUUCUUGAGGCCUAAGACGGCCACCACCACUUACCAUGGUACACCUGAAUCGUGCAUGAUGACUUAUCGCUUUUGCAACUCGAAAAACCUAUAAACCCCGUUUUACAUCAAUUUGUGCAAUUUAACACAACUGAAGCAAUCUCUAAAACAUGCACACAUAUAUACCUGCUCAGACAACUCCCUCGUAGGGCAUAGCACAACAGCUCGGGGACGCUUGGGCUUCAACACUAGUCCAUUCAUUUGCUCAUCCCGUCUUAGCAACUACAGAAACAAAGCAGUGUCUCAAUAGUCCCCAAUACAUGCCUAUACAUUUACUGGAAAAAAAUAAAAAAUAAAACAAGUUCGAUCAAUCUGUAAAACAUCCCACACAUCAAGUAAUUGACAACAUUUGUCAAACAAGUUACAAUAGAACAAAACCAUAUGCAUUCAAUUUCAUGUUUGUUUUGUUUUAAAAAUUGAUCCGUGCAUGACAUAAAAGCUAAAAAAAGUGGUACAUUUCAAUUCUACAAAAAGAGUGGAACCAAAGAGAUUAUAACAAACCAAACAACUUGUUCCAUACUCUGCAGUCCAUAUGCCAAAAGCUACCUCAAUUUGAUUACUUUCAUUCAAAUACGUAAAAUAAGAAAAAAGCGAAUCAAUCGAGUGAAAAAAACCACGGUGUUGAGAAUCCACUUUAUUUGGAUGGCGAGAUGGACUCAAUAGUAAAAGCAAUGGAGAGUUUAGUUAGACCCAACACAAACUCUAAGACAUACACAGAAAAUGCAAGUUUCUUCCUUGAAACCAGUGUUUGUUAAAUAGCAGCGCUACACCAGUAUAACGUAACAGAAUUGGACAAACCGAUAUUGUUCAUGUUGUCAAAUAGAGCAAGUGAUUGAGUGUAACAGCAUAUGUCAAUAUCAUGUCCUUGUCUAGCAUCAGUGUCGAACAUCUGACACCAGACACGCCUUCAAUCCAAUGGGUCGUGCCAAACAAUUCCUAAAGAUUUCUGAAAUUGCACUCUUCUAAGCUAGUUUUAGAAAAAGAAAACUGAAAAUGCAUUCUAAGUUAGUUUUUGUCUACUCUUCUCUCUAUCACAAUGACAAAUUAAAAUCCAUGACAAAAUGCCAUUCCACCCACCCACAUACAAAAUAAAAAUUAGAAUUGAAAAGGUUGUUAGAAAGCUAUGAAGCAUCUACACUAACACAGACACCAUAUACAUCACACUAACACAUAGACACCAGUAAUAAUUCAAAAAAAAAAAAAGUAAGUGAUUAAAUGCAACCACAUUUAUCAAUAUUGUGCCUCAAAUACAAGUUGUCGGUGCUAUGAAGCACCAACACAUACACAAACAUCAUACAACAAUACAUGUGUCGUUACAUUCAAUCUGCUAUAAAGCACGACAAUAGACAAACCACAAUAACACAGACACUGCUAAUAAUUUAGAAGUAAAAAAUGUAAGUGAUUGAAUAUAACCGCACAUGUCAAUAUCGUGUCAGUGUCCUACAUCAGACACCAGACACGCCCUCACAAACAAUAGAAAUCUAUGAAGCACCUACACAAACACGAACAACAGAAACACCACACUAAUGACACAUAUACACCGGAUAUGCCUUCCAUACAUGGUGUCUGUCCUAGACAUAAGCCCUAAAUAUUUUCAAAACCGAACAGACACUAAACACACCACACUGACGCGUAGACACCGGCAAUAAUUUAGAAAAAUAUAAACAAUUAAAUGUAAGCACAUGUCUCAAUAUCGUGUCAGUGUCCUGCAUCAGACACCAGACAAACCUUCAAUUUAAAACACCCGUCCUACACACAACCCUAAACGUUUCCAAAACCAAUCCAUUAUGAUUACCUGAACAAGUGGAAGCAAGUAAGCAAGAGUCUUUCCAGACCCAGUAUGAGACCCUAACACAACACUCUUCCCAUCCAAAACAGCCGGAACACCAAUACACUGAAUCUCAGUAGGAACUUCAAUACCCAUUUCUCUAACAGCCCCCAUAACCUCAUCCCCUAAUCCCAACCCUUCAAAACUCCCAACACCACCACCAUCCUCCUCAUCAACCCCCUCUUUCUUCUUCUUCACCCCCUCAACCUUCCUCACCACCCUUUCAUCAUUCCUACUUCCACCUUUCAAGUGUCUUAUCCUCAACUUCUCAAGGAGAAAUGAGUGUUUCUCUUGAUCAGGGUCAGAUAGCAAUGAUGGUGAGGAUUGUGGUGUGGUGGUGAGAGAAGAGAAUGGUGUGAAGCGUUUUGGGAAGAGGGGUGAUGGGUUUUGGGAGAGUUUGAAGAGAGAGAAACGGGAUGGGAAGGUAAUGGAGGAAGAGAGAGUGAAGAGGGUUUUUCUGGUUGCAAUCGCCAUUGAUGAAGGUUUUGUGAAAAGGUUUGGUUUUGUUUGGGGUUUUGGGGUUAGAAGAAGAAGAUAGUGAAUGUGACAAUGUGAUGAAGAAGAAAACAUUUUAUUUUAUUUUUUUAUUUUUUGAAGAUAUAGUAUGAUAUAAAUAAAUUUAUGAGUUAACAGUGUUUUUUACCCCGUAAUAUAUGUCAUUUCUGGUUUUCGUCCCUAUAAAAUUUUUUUGUUUGAUUUGCACCCUCGUAAAAUUUUUAUUUCCUUGAAAACUCCCUUAAUAGGCCAUUCAAAAACCAAAAUUUCUUGAAAAAAAAUUAUGAAAAUGGCCUAUUAGGAGUGUUUUCCGAAAAAUAAAAAUUUUACGAAGGUGCAAAUCAAAUCGAAAAUUUUAUAGGGGCGAAAACCGGAAAUGACAUAUAUUACAGGGAUGAAAAGUACUCUUAACCCUAUGUUUAUUUAUAUCUAUCUCUUUAGGGAGUCCAUAGUAUGGACCCCAAAAAUAAAGGAUCAUGGAUGGACCUAUGCAAUUGACCUGCUCCAACCGGUUACCAUCACUUUAGUUACUAAUUUCUCAAAUAAAAGGUGUACUUUCAGCUUUCAUAGAAAAUAUGCAGGAUGCAUUCAAUGAGGGUAUAUCCACCGAGUCAAGCCUCAAUAGAUCUACACAGAAAUUCUAUAUCUUCAAUUUGGUUAAUUUUAAUUUUCUUAGAGUGGCCUCAGAUUAAUUAGGUUGAAACGUUUUGUUUUUCUUUUUUAAUUUGGCCUAAAACUAUUUCUAGUGAUAAUAGUAAGAAAAGGUAAAGGUUUCUCAGCUUGCAUAGCAAAUAUGCAUAAUCAACAAAAUGAGGGUAGAGAAACCAAAUUCAAUUUCAACAGAUUUAUAUAUGCAAAAAAUCUUCGAUGAUUAUUUCUCUAUCUGAUUCAACCAAAAUCUUCGCUGGACUCAAGAUCAGACCGCGGAUCAACACAGUUGGGGGUAGAAGAAACACCACUAGAGCUUCUUUUUUUUUAAUUAACAAGACUAAAACCAAAAAAGAUGUAAAAUCAAAGAUCUUCAGCCUUGAACUUGACAGAGUAUAUUGAUCUUCCAUGGUUUAUUCUAUGGUUAAUUCUUAUAAGCUUAAGCGCUGAUAUGCUCUUAUGUUCAUUAGAAGGUCCAUUAAAUGGUAUUAAGGCUCUUUAGACUAUUCUCCACACCAUUAAUCAUUGUUCUUUAAAUGAAUUGACAUUGUUGUUUUUGUUGUUGAUGCAUCAGUUACAAUGGAACGAACAAGAUAAAGAACAAGAUAAAGAUUUGUACUCAGUAAUUACACAGCUGUUUUGUAAUAAUAAUAAUAAUAAUAAAAAUAAUAAUGAUCUAUUAAUUGAAAAGUAACCGGUUGUAGCAGGUAAUUAGCACAGGUGCACCGGUGGACCCUUGUUUUAAGGGUCCAUAUUAGGGGCUUCCUAUAAUUAUAUAAUAAUUAGGCUUAAAUAUGAUUUUCGUCCCUCUAAAAAAUAAUUUUGAAAAACAUCCCUGUAAAUAAAAGAAAAUUUGAAAAAGGUCCCUGUCCCAUUUCUGAUCUGAUUUGGCAUUGUUUUUGCCAUGUGGCGCUGACGUGGCAUGCCACAUAAUUUAAAAAAAAUUCAAAAUUCUAAAAAUUCUUUUUUUUAAUUAAAAAAAUCUUAAAAUAUUUAAAAAACAUUAAAAAAUUGUUAGAAGUAAAAUUUUUGAAAAAAAAAGGUGAAAAUUAAAUUUUCGAAAAAUAAUUCUUUUUUUAAUUUGAAUAUUAUAUAUUACUUUUUUUUCUUUCGAAAAUACUGAAAAUUAUAUUUUCAAAAGUUAUAAAUUUUGAGAUUAUAUAAUUUUUAAUUUUAAUUUUUAAUCAUUUAUUUCCACAUGUAAAAAAAAAAGUAAUUUCCAAUUUUUUUCUUCAUAUUUAAAAAAAUAUUGGAAUUUUUUAUGAUUUUUUUUUCAGUUUUUUUAAUUUUAAAAAAUAAAUUUCAGAAUUUAAAUCAUAAUUUUUAAUGACAUGGACUGCCACGUGGCAAAAGUUGCACAGUCAGCAACUGCCACGCCAUACCAUGUUAGCAAAAAAGAGGGGACAAAUACCUUUUUCAAACAAAAAAAAAAUUAUAGGGAUGUUUUUCAAAGUUUUUUUUUACAGGGACGAAAAUCAUAUUUAAGCCUAAUAAUUAAAUAUUUCUGUGUCGUGAGUUUAACUCAGUUGAUAUGAACAAUGCAUAAAAUAUACAAGGUAUGGAUUUGCUACCACACAAAAAAAUCAAAUUUUUGUAUAGUUUUCAAAAUUAAAAAUAAAAUCAAUUAAUUACUUUAUAAAUGAAGUGAUAAUAAAAACUUGAAACUCCCAAAUACAAUUGCAAUAUUCUGAUUUGUGGACAACUUAGUUAGUAAUAUCAUUUACAGAUGAAGUGACAAGAAUCACUUGAGUUAUGUUAAUAUGUUCAACUUAUUAAAAAUAUAUUUUAAAAAAAAAAACUUAAUAAAAAUAUAGACAUUGUAAAUUGAGUUAUGUUUCUUGAGCAUUGUAUUUUAAAUUUAAUAAUAACAACUGCAUCGAAUAACUGACUCAUAUUUGUGAAAUACUCUUAAGUUCAAUGUUUUUGUAUGUCUUAGUCAAAUUCGAUUCGAUAAGUUUAUUUAUUCUCUACUCUAUUGCAUUUAGAUUUGUAUUAAAUGAUACUAAUAUUCUUGUUGUUAAUUACUUUAUAAUAAUAAUAAUAGUUUUAUGUUUAAUUUCUCCGAAAUCUCAAGAGAUCGACGAUUGAGUAAUAGCAGGAGCGGUAGCGGGGAAUGCGUGGAGAGUUGAUGGUGGAUGAUGAAGGAGAAGGACUACUCUUUACAGGUAUGGGAGAAGAUAUCACCGGUGAGUUAGCGCCGGUUGAGAGAGAAAUCGUAGGCGAUGGUGCUUGAGAUGGUGGAGUAGAGACUGAUGAUGGAGUAACAGCAGGAGCGACAGCGGGAGAACCAAAGGAAGCAUGAGGAGAGGAUGUCGGAGAGUUAAUGGCAAACAGUGAAGGAGAUGGAGCAUUCAUAACAGGAACGGGAGAAGAUAUCGUCGAUGAGUUAGCGGAAGGAGAGACAUCACAGAAGAUGGAGUCGCAACGGGGUAUUUGGAUGGAGAUUAAGCAAAGGGUUGAACUCAUCAAUAUAGUGUAGCAACAAGCAUCAACACAAGGGUGUAGGAAGCCACAGUAGAAAUUUGAUGAAGGACGAUGAAGUUUCUGAAGUAGUGAGAAUAAGAAUUGAGCCAGUAGAUUAGGGUUUCACACUAUGGAGAAAAAUGAUUAGGGUUAAAAGGAUAUUUAUAGAAGCGUAACCACGUAAAGACGCUUUUUCCUAAGCUGAGUUGUUAAUAUGACCCAUUGUUGAUCUUUUUGUAUUAUUAUCUUCUUUUUUUUUCCCAGGAUGAGUUGAAAUAGCGUCUGAAAAAUAAGCUAUAAGUGUAACACCCUAAACCCUUAAAGUGAUAAAUUACGCAAAUAAUACAAAGGAUUUAAAUGCUACUUCUUCUAUAAGUUCAAAACAUGCAUAAUUAAUUUUUCAAAACAUCGCAACAGAAUAAUUAUCUCGACAGUUCAUCAAUAAUAAAACAAUUCUCCAAGUAGCCAUGGCAACGUACUACACAUAUCAUUAUCAAUACAUAGUCUCAAAAAUCCUCAAUAGUCAUAAUAAAGGUAAACACCAAAGACCGACACCUAAUCAGAACCCUAAAGACUAAGAUGCCAAAAGUAGUAGAUGAGGUAGCUCCAAGCUAUCCUCAAGCAACUCAUCAAAGCAAACCAAACCUACUCUUGCACACAGUCUACCCAUUCAUAUGAAUAAGGCACACAGUCAACCAAACGACCACUGAGGUUAGUUCACAUCUCAUAAUUAAAGUAUAAUCAAACACAAGCAUUCAAGGAUUCAUGCAUAGCACAUAUACAUACUUAACAUUCCUAGAAUACUAAUUCCACAUGGAUAUUAUCUUUCCCAUAUCAUAUCAUAUCAACAUUUUCAUUCUUAAUCGACAUUAUCAUCACAAGCUUAUCACCUAACAACACCAAUUAAUAUAAAAAUUUCUAACCUCAUUCAUUAUUUAUCCUAAUAAUCAAACUACGCCAAUCUCAUAAUUUAGGAAUUAUAAUCCUACAUGCCACUUUGUUCAUUUUACUUAAAGUACAUAUUAUCCUAAUACAUACAAAUCAUCUAAUUCACACCAAUCAUAUAUGUCACCUAAACCUUGCCUUAUAUAUAUCUCAUCUUCGAGAUUCUCACCAUUAACACAUCAUUUGCAUCGUCAGGUAAUUACAAUCCAUACAUAACAAAUCAUCAUCACCAUCAUCAUAAUCAAACAUCAAAACAUAAUUAUAUUUAUCACCAAACAUUCGUCAAUUAGUCAUCACCAAAAAUAACACCUUCACUUCAUAAUUCACAAGUCAUAAUUCAACAAGAGUCAUCAUCAAUUCAUUAAAUUAAAAUCACCAAUAAUCAUUAACAACUAUCACUUCAAGGAAACAUCACCUUUUAACAAUGACAUUUUACAUAAAAGACGGACAAUUAACCACAUUAUCCCAUUCAUCAUUUUUAACAUCCAAUCUUCAUUGACUCAAUUUUAUGCUAUCAUAUUAUCAUAAAAGUAAAACCAAUUGCAAGUUAUCCGAUCAUGAAAUCACAUUUUAACAAAGUUCGUCAAUUUUCACCACUUUCUACAUUUUCUAAGUAAUUCCACAAAACAAGGUAAACAUGAUCAAACACCCCAACCAAGCAUAUACACUACUCACAUAUGAUCACAAUAGCACACACACAUAUGCAUUAUAGGUCAUUUCCAAUCAAUUCCAAAAUUUCAUAAAGUUCGUCUCAUUUUGUCAAUUUUCAAAAGAAUUCCAUUUUUCAAAGCAAAACCAUGUUAAAGCUCAUAAAUACCAUCCAAAACAUUUUUUAUAAAUCAUGGUUACAGUAAACAGUCCCAACCCUACCCUUUUCCUUUGAGAAAAAGUGACUUUCUGAAAAUCAUGCGUUCUUGAACAUUUUUUCAAAAAGUUUGGUUUGAUUCACAAAACCAAGUUUAAUCUAAUUCAUUUGAUGUUUCCAAAGGUUUAGAAAGUUUUACAACAGUUAAAUACAUCAAAAGAAUCAUUUAGGAAAGUUUGGAUCGGCCCCGAAGUACCCAAAACAUCAAAAUCAUGGGUUGUUGUACUUAACAACUCGCAACAGCAAGUAAUAACUCGCUACAGCAAGUUCACCAGCACGGGGAACCCAUAUUUUAGGUUUUCUCUCAAGAACCCAUUCAAUUUUCAUCCAAAAACCUCGAUUUUGAUCCCCUUUGACCCAAAUUCGUCCCCAAAACUUGUGCAUUAAUUUACAUACAUCAAAAGGCAAUCAAAACAACAACUAUCAUGGAAUCAUAACAUCAAUUCUCAUCAAAAUCAUCAAUGUGUUCAUUUUUAACCAACACCCACAAUUUUCUCAAUUUUCAUUCAAACUUCACAAACAACCACACAAAUUCAAACCCCAUCAACAGACAAACAUAUAUAAACAUUUAUAAAGUGAAUUCAAACAUGUUUCAACAAGAAUCACUCAUUAAUUCAUGAUUUACACUCAAUUAAUCAAAAAUCAUCAAAACAACUUAUCAACAACAACAAUCGUUAUCGUUCUAAACUUAUAGUUCAAAUGAUUGAUUGAUUAAAAACUAAUCUAAAUUGGAAUAUAACAAUAAAAUUGAGACGAGAUCGGGCAAUAAACGCCUGGGGUUAGAGGCGUUGACUAAGCAUUAAAUAAUGCACUCUUAUGAUUAUCUAAAUGGAUUCAAACUUUACUUGAUAUUAUCACAUAUUGCUCAACAACAUCAUUCGUGUCCAAAUGAUGUCGUGAAAUGUCGAUUUCCCAACCUAUUAAACAAUCCAAUAGUCGAUUGCAUCGACGUAUUGCCGAUUUCCCAAACUAUUAAACGAUACAAAAGCUUUGAGUUCCAAUAUUCAAGGUUAAUUAUCAAAACCUAAAUUCCAUGUCUAGAAUUAAAGUUUUGCUAGAUUAUUAUUCUAACCCUAGAUUUAAAAGCAUCUUUCAACAUCAUUUCAAAUCAAAGAUAUAACAUUAAACACAAGAAUAAAAUCAACAUCAAAUAAAAUAUUGCUAGAAUCAUAUAUUUAAGUAUCAAAAAGAGUACAUAUUAACUUGAUCAAGUAUCUCUAACCCCAAAGGAUAGAUUUAGCUACUUACUUUCAUAGUAGCCUUGCAAAAAUGGAAGAAAAGAUGAAGAUUCGUGACAAGAUUCAUGAUGUCUCAACAAAUCUUGGAAAUAAUCCAUUUCGAACACUCUUGCUUCAUGUUUCUCUCUCUAGAAAUGGCCUCUCUCUCUCUAAAAAUCGUAAAAAUAUCAAAAAGAAUGAAGAAGAUCCCCCAAAAAUGAGAGAAAAGCUAUUUAUAUGGCUGAAGCUGUCAACGCACGCUUGAGCGAGCGGAAGACGCUUAAGCGUGCGGCUGGAAAAUCUUCUAUUAGCCAUUGAGAAGCUGCUUUUGUGCCUUAUCUACUGCAGAUGAAGGACUACGCUUAAGCGUGCUGGAAGCCUGGAAGGGCUUUGGUUAAUGGAACUUGCACGCUUAAGCGAGCUGAGGUUGCUUAAGUGUGUAGAUUUUGGUUCAUGAGCUUCUUUCUUGAUCCUUGUUUGUAUUUUCCUGCACAAAAAGGGUUGAGUAAGGCAUACAAAGCAUAAAUGACAUUAAAGCACAUAAUUGAAGCUUUUCCAUUAAUAACAUGUAAAACAAAUCACCAAAAUGCCUAAACUAACACGUGAAUUAGAUCACUUUUGAGCACUUAUCACUCACUUAAACUGUCAAAACACCGAAUAAUUACCAUCUCUAAAUAAUUACCCCAACUCACUAGUAACAUAGUAAAAAUAACCAUUCUCAUUAAAACGCAAAAAAAUAACCUUCUUAAUAAAAAUGACUAAUUUACCUUCACUCACCAAAUGACCAAAAUACCCAUGGCUCUAAUAAUGACUAAAAUACCCUUCUAGGCCAAAAAUCCACUAAUCCCGAAUAAAAUACACACAGAGGCAAUCAAUCACACACAAGCACAUAUAAACACACAUAAUAAAUAAUUAAAAUAAUUUUAGCGAAAAUCGAGCUGUUACAAUAAGCUUGUGAAAUAAGUUAUAAGCUCGUGAUGAAAUGAUUUUUACCAAACAGUGCUUUUCAGACAUACGAGCUUAUUCGCUACAAGAUAUCCAUUAUAAGCUCGUUUCAUGACUUUGCCAAACGUACCCUUUAUAUUAGUAUUUUAGAUUAAUACUAGAUGUAUUUAGAAAAACAAUAUUAUGUAAUCCUCUUAUUCAGAAAAAAGAGAAAUAUUCAGUUAAGAAAAGUCAACUUAAGUUAAAAUAUUUUGAUGAUGACAAGCAGAAUAGCAUGUUGGUGUUCAUCUAUCUGCAAUUUCUAUUGGUACUAGCAUCAAGACGAGUACAUUAGUGUACGUUUUGACACGUUUAUUGGCGACUAAUUAAUGAUAAAGUUGUAAAAAAAUUAAUGAUGACAGUUUGACACGUUUAUUGACAAUAAUUUAUAUUAUAUUUAUUACAAGAGGUGUUGGAACCCUCGCUUUUACCUUCGAGGUUGAGGCAGGUAUGUAGGGGCAACUUGUUUUUUGGUGUUUUUUGGCUAGGUAGUGUGUGCAGGUUCUGUAGAACUCUUUUUUCUUCUUGAUGUCGAUGUUGUUUUGGUGUUUUAGCUUGUUUUUGUUUUCCCAACGGUAUUGCAGUAUCAAGGCUUGCCUUUUUCGUGUGCUUUGCCUGAUCUUUCUCUUCUUGAGAAGGUUGUGUUGGCUGUUAAAAAAAAAUAAAAUAAUAUAUCAUAUUUUUUUGAGGGAUCAAUAUAUCACAUUUAAAAGAAAAUUUAUUUAUGAGUAUAAUUUAAAUUGCAACAAACAAUGUCACUGUAACAAAUAUAAUAUAAAUUCUUAUAUUUUUCAAUAAUACAAACAAUAUAGCCAAUCUUAUUAAUCGCCAGUUUAAGAGCCCAUUUGUUACAGUUUUUUAAAGUAAAAAAUAACCAUUUUUAGAAAAUAAUGAUAAUAAUCACUUAUAAGAGUAUUGCAUCCAUUUUUUUAUAAGUUUUUUUUUUAAAAAAAAAAAUCAAUAUUUUAAAAUAAUCUAAAAACAACUUCGAAUGAGAAGUUGUUAAGUGUACCUUUUGAGAAAAUAUAUUUUUAGUUAUCAAUUAGACGUUGUUAAGAUUGAACUGACUUUGUAUAAAAAAAUUCCAUUUUAUAUAGUUGUAUCCAAACAUACAAUUUUUAUUUUUUUAAAAAAGUGAUUAUUAAUUUGAUAAACAAACGCAAAAUAGAUUCUGAUUUUUUUUUUUUUUUUUUAUAAAAAUCAUCUCUAAAUUAUUCAAUACCAAAAACACUUGUAUACCUCUUAAUUGAUAUUGUGGUCUAUUUGGUUGGCUGGAAUGUGUUUUACCUCAAUACUGACUACUAAGAUAUUUGAGUUAAUGGCUAUACCAUUUAUAUGCAGUAAGGUAACACUAUCAUAAUGCAUAGAAGGUAAAUGAUAUUUGGUUCCCACUUGACAUUGAUAUUUUAAUAUUUUUUUUAUAAUUGGUCUAAAGUCUUGGGACAUGGUCUAAUUUUUUUCGACAAUCGCUUGAGACUAAGCAUGUAAGUGGAUAUCUAUGGACAUAAAUAGUUUGAAAUUCUUGUUCGUUUUGUUGGACAGGUAUGAUAUGUAUACGCCAAAAAAGGUAAUUAAUAGCACUUUUUUUAGUCUUUAAUAGCACUCAAAAGUGCUAUUAAAGCCCCUGCUAUUGUAGGAUAUACCACCUAUAAUAGCACUUUUAAAAUGCUAUUAAAGACCCUGUAUUAAUAGCACUUUUCAUAUAAGUGAUAUCUUUAGUCAUUUAUUUUUACCAUGUGGUCAAUAGCCCUUUUUAUAAAAGUGCUAUUGUAAGCUUUUUUUUUCUUUUUUUCUUUUUAAAAAAAAUAAUUAAUUCUAAAGAUCAUUUAAAAUAAUUAUAUUUUCAUAGAGGAAUUUCAUUACUCAAAAAUAUACAAAACAAGUCAUUUAAUGUAUUCAUUGUAAAAGAACCUAACACAAUGUAUAUAUUAUCAAGAAAAGCUCUUCAAAUUUAAACAAAAAAAGGUCUUUGGGUCUUUGAUAUGUAUCUCUGUUCCUCUUCAUUUCCCUUAUGCUAUGCUCUUGUCCGUUUCUUCAACAUCUCUGAUACAUGCAUACACAUAUAUAGCUCUCGUCCAAAUUACUUGAAACAAGCUGCAAAAAUUCAUACUAGGAACCUUCCAUAUGAAUCCAAAAUUUUACAAGCCUCAAAUCUAACUAAAACUCCUACCAAAUACUUAGAAUACUAAAGNCCUCAAAUCUAACUAAAACUCCUACCAAAUACUUAGAAUACUAAAGAUACUUAUAGAAUAGUAAGAUCAUAAGCUUUAUAACAAGUCACGAGUAUUACCUUUUCAAGAUUACGCAUAUACAUUGAUGUGGAAGAUACACCUCAAAUGACAACACAUUUCAAAAAUUAUACUUCAUUUGGUCAAUAUUUAUAUCAAACUAAAACAAAAUUCUAUAACCUGAAAAUGAUAAACAACAAAACAUGAUUAUUACAAAAGGCUGAAACAAAUGAAAGUGAAGGGACUAAGCAUCAUGGUAAAUAGUAUUUAAAAGCCAUACUUACGCCUAGGCUGUUAUACAACAAUUUACACUAAACUAUAAUUGCCAAAAUUUCCAAGGCUAGUAAUCAUGGAGUAAAUGAACCUGAGAACUCAAUGGUGAAACCUACAAAAUUGAAGAAUUUAAAGCACCAAGAUGCCCAUGACAUGCCUUGUUUGAAUAACCUGCAUAAUUUACAUGAAUGAAUGAAAUAGUAACCUUUAAUAAAUAUAUGCAACUACAUACUAAACAUGUAAGAAAAUUCCAAUUUCACUAUAAAAAAUAUCAAAAGUCACAUUGAAAUAAUCUCAGAUAACAUGCAAUCAAUUAUGAACCUGGUAAGAGAUUAAAGUAUGAAACACACAACAACAAAAAUCAAAGAAGAAAACAAAUUGGAUAGAGUUUUACCAAUUGUACUAUGUGCUUGAAAACCUGAACUUCCUUCUCUUCAUUUUAAUCACAAGCAUCUGAACUUUAGUGUACAGCUGAAUCCAUUAUUAAAAUAUUAUAAAUGGAACUCGGCUUCAUUUUUCUGAACAAGAAUGGAACUCAGCUUCUUAACUGAAAUAUAUAAAUAUUUGAAAGUUUUAAAUAGACCAAACUAAAUAUACAUGGAUAUGAAAAUUAACAAGUAAAAAAAGUGAGCAAAUAUACAUUGAUAUGAAGAUUAAAUUCCCUCAAUUUGUACUACAUGACGUAAGUUUUAUUUUGAGUAAAAGAAGCCAUGUGAUAGCCAUUUUCAAUGCUAAGUCCAAUAUAUAGACAUACUUGAUAGCCAUUGAAUCCCAUCUAAAUCAAUACCCAAAUCAGCCCACACCAUAAAACAACAAAAAAACCUCUGAACAACUUCAAACACCCAAAGCUAAAAACCUUAAAGAUAACAAAAAAACAGCCAAAAACACCCACAACAAGCUGGUAAUAACACAACUCCUAAUUGGCUAUAUAAGCCUUAAGGUACUACUAGACAUAACAAUUCUUUCUUAAUAAAUAUUAUUUUCAUUUCACUUUUUCUAUAUUUUGAUUUAUGAGUUCCAUCAAGAAUUGUGAUAAUGUGUCACUUGUAAAAAAGAGAGACUAAUGUCACUUAUGAGUUCUAUCCUGAAUUGUAAUAAUUUGUCACUUUUAUAUACUUUUCCGUUAGUUUCAAGUUUAAUAGCCUAUACAAAUUUCUCUAUCACAAAUGAGCUUCUUCUGCAAGUUCAUAUUGAAUUUUUUUUUUUUUUUUUUAUUGCAAGUUCAAAUUGAAUUCUUUUAAUGAGAAGAUAUAGGUUAACUUAAUAGAUAAUACAUAUGUUUCAGUAUGGACGGACUGAAGUCAAACACACAUUAGUACUUAGCCAAAAAGCUUCACAAAGUUUCUGGUAACAAAUUUAAUAAAAAUUCAAUAUAAAUAAAAGUGUGAAAAAGCUACUCAACCAUACAAUUUGCCUUUGCAACCCAGUGUAGCUGACACAAAUGUGGUAGCCUCGGUUAGGCUACUAAUUCAAUGUGUUGGUUUACAUCAAAAUAUAUAUUCUUUUUAUCAGCAAAUAAAAUUAACAACAGUCCGAGCACAAUAACCCGAAAAUGUUACAAAGUACAAUCGGUAGAAUCACUAUGUAAUAAUAAACAACACAAAAUAAAAACUCUAAUCAAGUGGAUCAAAACAAAGCCAAACAAGACCACCCCAAAUAACAACACCAGUGCAUAGUGAACAACCUCCAAAACAACAUUCUUGAAGAUAACACAGAUAGCCAACACAGGGUUGAAAAAACCUGCUUAAAAAAUAGGAGAGUCCCUCAUAGGAAUUGCUACCCCAUCACACCCAGAGACAUUAAAACACUAGCAAUUCUAAAAUAGACACAGACGCGUAAAAGCCACCUACAGAAUCAAACAAAAAUAGAAACACCCACACCAAUGCAGAUUCAAAUGGUUUCGACAGAGAACGAUGUGGAAAUUACAACUAAAAUUAAUGUAGAGACUAAUUUGUUUGAAUGUGUUCAAAACUCAAAAUUGAUUUAAAGGGAAAAUAACAUAUACAAUUAAUGGCAGAUAACAUAAAGAAAUUGUCCAAAUUACUCAAUUACACAAAUAUACAAAUAAAACCCCCAACACCCGAAAUGGAAUUGAUGGAAAAAAAAAACCCAAUAGGAUUCAAGGGUCUACACCAUAAAAUGCCGACACAUGUUUCUACACUCAAAAAGAAUAUAUAGAUAACACCAAAAAGGUACCUGAUAGAUAAGUCAUAUAAAAAUGUCGGCCGCAGCUUUCAAACCCACCAAUUUCCUAUCGAACAAAAUCUACAAAAAUCAGACACAAAAGUAAAUUAGUCGAACAGCAUGUUAAUCAAAUUUCAAAAGCAUAACUAAAGAGAAAGGGAAAGACUUACAGGUACGAGUGAGAAGGAAAAGCGUGCAGAAAACGACUUCUAUUAGUUCGUCAGUUUCGUCAAAGGGUGCAGUGAAUGAAUUUGUAUGAGAUGAUGGGUUAGGGUUCUAUUGAGAAGAAUUUCUGGGUGGAGAUGAGAGGGUUCAGUGAGAAGUUGAGAUGAUGGCAUAUGGUUUGAAGGGUUCGGACUAGAGAAGUUAAAAUUUGAAGGAUUUGUGGGUAGAUGUUUGAGAGGGUUAGGUUCGAUGAAGUGAUUUUGGUAGAAGUUGUGUUUUGGGUGCAGAAAAGAGGAGAGGGAAUGAAAAAUUACUUCAACGCCAAACGCAAAAUUAUUUUGCGGUUUUUUUUAUUUUUUUAUUUUUAAUUUGGUAUGUGCAAAGAUAGCCCUUCCCCAUAAAACGCUAACAAAUCAUUUACACCAAUAUUAGCGUUCACUAGAAAACGCUAUCACACUCCUAUCAUCACACUCCUCUUUAUUUUAUCAUUUUUUUUAAUACCAUAUAACAGCACUUUGUAUAAAAGGGCUAAUAUAGGUGUCACGUUAUAAUAGCAUGCGUAACGGAAAUGCUAUUAUUAAUAUUAGAGUCAAUCUUUUGAUAGCAUUUUCUCUAAAAGUGUUAUUAAAUUAGCGCUACUAAAUCUCAAAAUUGGCGUAAUAAUUCAUUCCAUGCAGAUCUUUGUUAAGAGGAUACUUUUGAGGUAUCCAUGGAUAUAAACAAAUAUCCAUCGAUACCAUUUUAAAAAAUGAAUAUUGUUAAAAAAAUUUAUAAUUAUCGAAUAUUUAAGAAAAAAAGAUAAUCACAUUCAUUUUUAUCCCUUUUCUCAAAACAUAAUAUAUCCAUACAUUUCAUAUCUAAAAAAUAAACAUUUUAAAAAAAAGGUUAAUCACAUUUAAUAAAAACAAAGUUCCUUGAUUAAAAAUUUAACAAAUAUAGGUUAACAUUUUUUUUUUUUAAGAAAUUAAAAUGAAAUAUAUUAUUACCAGCAGACUAUCUUCCUAGCACAAGAUGUGCGGAAAAAAUAGCCAAAAGAUACAUAACAAGUUCACAAUAAAAAGCACAUGUUAGCCAAUACCCGAAUAAAGAAAAGGGUUUUGGCACCAAUUAUAAAAACUAUAAUAAAAAACACCAGAUUUUGCUUUAUACCACCAAAAAGAAAGAAGUUUAAUUUUCUCCACAAGUUGAAAAGGAGAAUUCUGAGUACCGCGAAACAACCUAUCAUUUCUUUCCUUCGAAAUCACAAAAGUGCUACCAAACUAAAUCAAGUGCAUAAAAGAACACAUUGAUUUGGCAUAACCUGAAGAAGUACCAAACUGAUGAAAAUGAUCCAAUACGUUAGAUGGAUCCGCUAAAUGAACACCCAACCAUGUCCUAAGAAGCUUCCAAAUCUGACCAAAGAGACUACAAGUAAAAAAUAAAUGCUUCUCUGAUUCCUGAAGACCGCAACCAGAAACGCAAAGCUGAGAGUCAAGAUGAAUAAUCCCUCUUCGAAAUAAAUUAAUCUUAGAUGGCAAUCUAUUCCAAAAAAAGCCACCAAGCAAACACCGAAACCUUCAAGGGGACAUCAUUCCUCCAUAAAAGAGUCGCGGGGAUGGAAGUAGAAGUAGAUGCCCUUUUAGUGGGACUGUGGUAAGCCCCACUGACUGUAUACCCAACAACUGGAUCAGAGACCUACUGCCACACAUCAGCAAAAUCGACCUGAAUGACAACAGUUAGCAAAAGAUCCCUACACUCCACUACCAUGUCUUCUUCCCACGCCCAUAAUCUCCUCCACUUCCAAGCCUCCCUACCCCUCGCCCCACCCCAAUUCAUACAUCUGCGCCACAGUGAACAACUUAUUCUCAGAUAGAUUAUACAGGACGCGAAACCUCCGAAGAGGAAUAUGACCACACCACCUAUCUAACCAAAAUAAAGUACUAGUACCAUUACCAACAACAAGGAGUGCGUUAUCAGAAAACCAACUGCCCACCAAUGUACCAACACCAUCACAAAUGCUAACUAUCUCCUGCAACCACACGGACACCUCUCGACCACCAGCCUGAAGGCGCCCCCCGACUAAACCAAAUCUAGCAGCUAACAGUCUAAACCAAAAACCCUCUCGAUCCACCAACAACCUCCAACACCACUUACCUAACGACAAAAUAAAUCCCUAAUUCUCUUUACCCCCAAACAACUAACCUCCUUAUCCAAACAAGUGAACUCCCAAUGAAACCAAGAAAUUUUCCUAUUAUCCUCAUUCCGACCCCAAUAAAAGGAAAUUAAAAGCGAAUUAAAGGGUAACAUUAUUGGUUUGUUUUAGAGGAGAAUUGAACCGUCGCGUAAUAAUUAUGUAUAGGUAUUAUGUUUNNNNNNNNNNNNNNNNNNNNNNNNNNNNNNNNNNNNNNNNNNNNNNNNNNNNNNNNNNNNNNNNNNNNNNNNNNNNNNNNNNNNNNNNNNNNNNNNNNNNUCUGGAAUAGGUUGAGAACAUGCAAAGGAUCAUUAAAUAUUGAAUUCAUAAGUCAGAUUGAAAAAAGUGUUAUGGAACAUGGUAUUUUAUAAAUAUCUUCAUCAUAGUUGUCAAACCUGAACAACGUCUGAUAUAAGAAUGGAAGGAUGGCCACUAUAUCAAUAAAUAAUUAUUUUUUCAGUAAAUAAUUUAUAUCUUAAUUUAAAUAAAAACUACGUAUACCAAAAUCUUGCAAAUUAAGCAAAGAAAAUAAACACCGCUUGAAAAAAAUCAGAUAAGUAAUAAUUAAAUAAGGUACGAAAUGAGAAAUUGCAAAGGAUACUGACUCAUCAAUGAAGUUUUUCCGACCCCAAGAAAAAAGAAAAAAUUAAAUUAGAGAAAACGAAAAGAGGGAACAAAAACCCUAAGUGAAGGUUACAUACAUACCCACUGUCACCUAGAAUGAUGACUCUGACCAAUGUUCCUCUGCGUAAUGCCAUUGAUUGAUUCUGGAUUAUUAAGGAUUAUACUUGAUGGAUUUAUAUAUAGUUGCGGAGUUGAAUUGUGGAUCGAGGUUUGAGAGUUUUGAGAGAUGAGAGAGAAAAUGGAUAUAUGAUAAAAAUAAGAGAAAGGGGGCACCAAUUUCGAUAAAUUUGAUUUUUUUGUUCACCUACACUGUUUAGCUACACACUUGAAUUGCUUUCAACACCCUCUUAUUUAUUUUUAUUUUUUUUUGUUUCAGUGCAGUGAAAUAAUUAAGGAUUUUUGAAUUUACACAUUAAGUACAUAUUUGUCGCUAUCAUAAUAUCUAGAACCAGCCAACAUUGCAAUAAGUUGCUACUGAAUCCUAAGUACAUAAUAGUCGAUGAAAAAUAGAAUAUAAAUUGAUUGGAAUAUGGUAUACUUACUUUGCAAAGAGUUUUUGAUGUUAGAGCAAUAACAUUUUAGUUUGCGACUCUUGCUGAGGAGAGAGUCAAUAAAUUGAUGCAUGAUGAAUCAUAUGUGUAAUUUAAACUAUUUUAAAAACGUAUUAUAGUCUCAAGUUUGUUGUGAGAUACAUAAAUAUUCUACUCAAUAUAAGAGAAUGUUGAAAAAUACUCCCUCCUGUCGCCAUUACGAGAAACAAUUUUUUUUUUCUUUUUCAGAUUCAUUAAAUAUGUAAUGUAUCUUAUUUAUAUUACAAACGAGAUAUAUCAAUUAUUUAAUAAAAGUCAAAAAGAAAUAUUUACUCAUAAUAGUGAUCCGAGAUAAUAUGUGUUAAAGUGACCAUUACUAUCACUUUUCACAAUAGAUCAUUGGUUUCAUGGAAUGGAAUAAAUGACCACUUUUCCGGUGGCUCUUGAAGUCUCUAAGUAGGAAAAAGCUUCAAUGACCUCUGAAAAUGGUAUAGGAGUCUUGGGGUCAAAAUCCAAUAUGUAUAGUCGUUUAAAUAGUAAAAUAUAUUUAAGCUAAAUUAUACCAGAGAUCCUUUAAGUUAUUUAAUAAUUAAUAAGUUAGUUCUGUGAAUUACAUUUAAAUUACACCAUUUUUGAAGAUAUUUAAUUGUCACAAGUUAGUUUUAUGUUUCUUUUCAUACUACUUAGAUCAUUUAAGUUAUUUAAUUGUUAAAUUUAAACACCAAAUAACUUACAUUUUUAAUAUCUUGUUUAAAAAAAAACUUACAUUUUUAAUAUCUGAAAUUCCCCAAACUUUUAUAGUUAAAUAACUAAAAAAAUUAAAUGGUAAAAAAAACUUAAAAAUCUUAAGAAAAAUCAUGUCUCCUUAAAAAAAAAUGAUUUUGUCAAAAUUUAACUAAUCCCAAUUUUGAAAAAUAAAAUCAAAGACAGAAAAACUUCUUUUACUGGUCAUAUUGUAUAGACAUAUAUAAUAAAUUACUUUUCUCCUAAAAUAUUUCUUAGGCUUUUUCCUUAGAGGGACCAAAAUUCUAAGAAAUAUUUUAGAUGGACUAAAAUCAAAUGUUGAUAUAUUACUGGGACCAUUUACUUAUUUAAUCCUUCUAAACUUAACUUUUAAUUAAAGAAAAAAAAUUAGCAUACAGGUAGAUGAGGGUCAGUGUCCUUGAACAAGGCAUGCAUCCUCUUGUAAUCAACAGGAUUAAGGGAAGCAGCAACAACCUUGAUGAGGACUUGAUCAUCUUUGAGUUGAGGUAUGGACCAAUUUGGAUGUAACUUUAGAAUAUCUAAAGCCUUUCCAUGUUCAGAGUAGAACCAAGCAUUUGUAUGAGUUGGAAUAGUAAUAUUAGUAGGAUCAUUUCUUGAAACUUCUGUGGCCAUAUUGAUGAGUUAUUUGGAAGAGUGGAAAUGGAAGUACUAGAGUGGCCCUCUAGUGCUCAAGUGAUAGAUAUGGAAUCAUGAAUGUUGACAUUAUAUAGACUCUGAUUUUAGGGUUAGUUAAUAUAUAAAACAUUAUUGGAGUAUUAUGAUAUAAUCUAACUUUUGUCAAAUUUGUUCAGGCAAAUAAGUUGGUGAGCUAAGCGACACUAAAAAGAUAUAUAUAGAAAAGAGAUUGAAUUCGAUCACUGAUUAACCUAACAACUAAUUUAUUAACACUUGUGUAUUUAAAAUAAAACUUUUGUCGUGUUUAAUUUUAUAGCUUGCAUCAUUGUUUUCUUACACAAGACAUUCAACUUUAUAUUUUUUUUUUUAUAUAUAAAAUAAAAGUAGGUCUUCCAUUUUUGAUGAGUUAAUUAGUUGUUAGAUUUACUACUUGGUCAAUAUAUUUCAUGAUAUUCUAUCAACAAAAGAAUAUUCCAUAAUAUUUAUAUUAACUAGACCAUCGACGAACGGAUCAUAUCGAAGGCAAUAUUUGAUGGUAAUAGAAAACAAAAUAGUUUAGAUAAAUGUCAUAAUUUUCAUAUAGUAUUUUAUAAUAUUAGGUUAAAAUUAUUUUAAGUAUAGCGAGACGGAUUAACAUUUAUAAGUAAGAGAUAGCGAGACGGGUUAACAUUCAUAAGUAAGAGAUUUCCAAAAAAAUAGCAUAUAAUUAGGAACAUAAUUUUAUUUAUUUUAGAUAAACAUUAAAUGCAAAAGUGUGGAGGAAAAAAUUAGGUUAAAAUUAGGUUGAGUACAACGAGACGGGUUAACAUUCAUAAGUAAGAGAUUUCCAAAAAAAUAGCAUAUAAUUAGGAACAUAAUUUUAUUUUACUUUAGAUAAACAUUAAAUGCAAAAGAGUGGAGGGAAAAAUUAGCUUAAGUAUAGAGAGACGGGUUAACAUUUAUAAGUAAGAGAUUAUAUAUCGUUAUUCUUUUUGAUCCGGUUGGACCAAAGAAGAUGAUUUGUUGGAUUGAGAUUCAUUAUAUAUAGAGAUUGAGCUUUUCGUCAUCCGCCACAGUCUGUCAUGAGUCCUCUCUAUCGAAAGAGGGUGAUGUGUACUUGCACAUGCUCCCGAAGCCCAAGUCGGUAAAUGGUUCAAGAGAGAGUGCGGCUAAAAAUUCAGUUUAACUAGGGUUUUGGUUGUCAAGUAUUCAUGUGGAAAAGUUGUCCUUGAUGGACAUAUGCGACCAACUAGGUGGUCUUCUAUCAUUGGACCUAGAUUGGAAGCUCAGGAUCUGCUGGUCCGGAUCAUUAUCUAGUGGGAUGUAGAGCGUGUUCAUCCUAUGGUAUUGACUGAUCUCGGGUCUUAUAUCAUACUUAAGUCUAACCAUAAUGGGCCUUAGCCUGAUGUGGAAUAGUUCGAUAGUAGGAUUAUAUAUUAUUAGUCGUUAACUUUUAUUUGAAUAAGCUAAAAUAACUUAUUCAAUUUGACAAAUUACUUAGUUUAUCAUACCAGGCUCUAGGAUCUUGUUUAAGACCAUAUAAUGAUUUCUUAAGCUUAUAAACAUGGUAAGGUUGCUUCAGAUCCUCAAAACCAGGUGGUUGCUUGACAAAUACUUCUUCCGAUAUCACUCUAUUGAGAAAUACACUCUUUACAUCCAUUUGAUAUAAUAUUAUGGCAUGAUUUACCGCAUAGGAUAGAAGUAAUCUGAUUGCUUCCAAUCUUGCAAGUGGAGCAAUGUCAAUAAUCUAUUGUGCUUCAUUGUUCAAACGAAAUGUCUCAUUCUGAAACUUUUAAUAUAUGUAUCUUCACCAUCUUCUCUUCAAUCGGAUUUAUUAAUCUAGAAGUUUAUAAAAAUAUGCGGGUAUGGAGGAGAAAAUAUUGUACAUAUUUUUGGAACACUAGAUGUCUCUUAUAUGCAUAGGCGUCAAGACAAACUACCAGAUAUCUUAGGUUUGUUACAUGUGUUUAUCGUGCUGAAUAGGUAUACAAGAAUCAAACUAAUGUUUUGAUGAACAAAUUCGAACCAGUUAAGUUGGCUCGAUUAUUUUCUACGUUCGGAUUCGAACAAAAUCAAAAUUAAACAAAAUGUAAAAACAAAAGAAUCAUAUCAAACCAACAUGUUCUUCAUCAAUUUAGUUUGAAAUUCAUGAGAGAAAAUAUUUUUGAAUCAAACAAAACCGAUGAUUUUUUAGUGGUUUGGAUUUUUUUCCAUCACAAACUUAAAUCAAACCAACUUGUUACCCUUAACGCUGCAUAGAAAAAACUAGGUUUAAAUAUGAACUCUCAAAAUAGUAGUGCUGAGGUUGUUCACAUGAGACGAAGUGGCACUGGAAAUUAACUUGUUCUUGGCUUGGUCCAAUUUGUCAUUUUAAACCGAAAGAAAUUGGUUUGUUGAUUCCUCAAAAAAAAAUAAAAAAAAAAAUUGGUUUGUUGAUUUUAGUUUUGGAGAGAUCUUACUUUUCUCUUUUAAAUUAUAGACAUUAUAAAAGAAGACGCUAUGGGAACUUGUUUUCUAAGAGCUUAAUUUUCCUGCUUUCUGUUUCUUUUAUUAGCUUUGUAACCAAAAAAAAUAAAUUAUAGACAUUAUAAAAUGCUUAUUUAAAAUCAAUUAAGUGUGGUCGAAGUAUUAUAUGAUCAUUUAUUAUGUUUAAAAUCAAUUAAGUGUGGUCGAAGUAUUAUAUGAUCACAAACAGACAUUUAAAAUCAAUUAAUCUUAGUCCUCCAAAACCCUUCCAAAAUCCUCUCCCAAACAGACCCUUAGGAUGUAGUACUCUCAAAAGAAUGUCAAUUCUAAAAUAAAUUUAUUCUCUUCUUACAAUGCAAAUCUAGAACAAUAUUAAAGCUCAAAUUGGGAGAGGUAUCUAACAUGCAUAUGAAUCGUCUCUUUCAUUUCAUUCAACUGGUUUAAAUCCAAAAUAGUCACUGUUUGCCAAGAAAGAAUUGUAAUCAACAAAAUAGAUGCACAAUAAACUUUUCUAGAUUAAAGGGCAUGCAUGUCCAAAACAAUCCAUAUGUUGUCGACAAUAACAGCUACCAAAUUACACAACAAGACAAGACAAUUUUCAAAAAUUCCCUUAAAGUUUGGUAAUCAACCUUUUCAAUGGUUCUAGAUAUCUACAAUUUGUUCCCUUCCUCACUGAUUCAUUUGUUCGCUACUGUAUUCAACUCCAGUGUUCUUUAAUGCUUUCAACUUUCUGUAUCCUAUAUCAGUUCCAAAUAUCCUAUUAUAAUGGACAAAAAUAUCACAUAUCAGUGUCUGUUUAACAAGCGGGAUAUCCAAUUUAUAAACCCACGUUACUAGGAAAUAGAUUACGAGUCAUCGUGCAUUCAUGCUGCUGACCUAGACAGUAUGAUUUCGAUCUGACAGUUUAUGUUGUGACUUUAUUUUUGGAUAUGUUUUGUAAAGUCAAAAUACAAACCGUCAGAUUAAGAUCAGGAAGGCUGAGAUCACAUGACUGUGAAUAUGAGGUUAUAACAACAGUAGUGAGUCCAGUCCAAUGUUACUUAGCUGAUCUUAUUAAGAGGAAUAUGAUAAAAAAAACUUACCGGUCCAUGUAUGUAAAGGUUGAUGAAUAGUUUCCAGACUUGGUGUACAACACACGAUGAUGAUAGUCAUGAAAAUCGGCUCUGGAAAUGGAGAUAUAAAUUUUAACUAUAGAGAAAUAAUCAAAAUAACCGAAACUAAUAGGUUGAUGUCAAGUAAAGUAAAGGAAAAGGAAACUCACCCUCCAUAAAGUGGUAAGAAGUUUGAGGGGCUCCAUGGGAAAUGAUAACCGCAAUGUGCCUCAACUGUCUCGAGGACUCUAAGAACCGUAUAUAGCCAAAGAGUAAUCAAGUGAGGACCAGUGAUAGCAGGACCAAGCAUGGUCGGAAAUCCAAGGAAUAAAAUCUCCGCAGGAUGACCAUAUUCAGAAGUCAGUCCAAAUGGUGUGGCAUACCUUCACAACAUAGUUAAAAAUCUUUGAACUUCAAGAAAAACCCAAAACCACUUCACAGCUCAUUGAUAAUUGUAGAACAUGUAUAAAACUUACUCGUGAUGAACUCUAUGUACGUGUUUGUACAACCAUUUUGUGUGCAUUAUCCUAUGUUCCCAGUAGAAUAAAAAAUCCUCCAAAAUGAAGUAAAAUAUUAUCUGCGUUAAAACUACUCUCCUGCGAAAUAGAAAGCAAGUCUUUCUAAGAAAUCUUCAUAGAAAGAUGUAUUCUAAAUGUUUAUAGAAAAAGUUCCCAUCAUGAAACUCAUAAGCGAACUAGUUUCUAAAGAAACCUGAAAGUACCAGGACGGCAGAGGAAGGCUACUAUGCAUGCCCAUGUAUUUGAAAACAGGAUAUGAAAAAAUCAUCGCAGGUAGAUUGACUCCAAAAUGUAACACCAAUAAGCGAAUAAUACAUCUCUCCUUAGAUUCAGGGCUGUUAAUUUUUGUCUACAUGAAAGUGAGAAUUAGCAAUAAAAUCUUACAUAAUGAUCAUACUAUACUCAUAUAGUAUAAUGAUACUAUGCUCUAAAUCGAUGACUGAAAAAAAAAAUUAAGCUGCAGGAGCAAUACUCGUAUCGUACCAGAUCUCAGACACAAGCAGAAACAAGAUUUAGUCGCACAAAAAUAUAAGACAAAAUUCAAAUACUUCUGUUACAGUGUAGACGAUUACAUAUCAAAUAAACAAACAAAAAAAAAUUGCUAUAUAACUUUUAUAUAAAAUUGCUUGAUAUGAUGAUGAAAAUAAAUUGAUAUAUGUUUUGCAGGAUUACAAAAACAUCUAUUACUGUUUAAAAAGGAAUAUCCCUAUAAUUUUCACUUUUAAAUACCAUGAAACAUCGUUUAUAAUCGUUUUAGUAUAACACAAAUGGAAAGGAAAAGUUGAAUGAUUGAUAUCAAGGAAAUGGAAUUGCUCUAAUGAUUAUAAAAGCAUGACGAUAAGUUUGUCCUUCAAACGUGCCAUAAGUCCUUUAAAAGGAAAGAUGGGGAAGAAAACGUAAAGUGGCUAACCUAGUAUUGUCAAAUAACCGCUAUAGCGUAGCGGAAUUUGAGCAAAUCACUAUUGUUCAUUUAAUACUAAGUGUUGUCAAAUAUCGGCACUAUAUCAUUGUAGCAUUGUGGAAUUUGAACAAACCUGAAUUUUGUAGUUUGAGAGCCAUCCUGCCCUCUCAAGCCAAAUAAAUGGAAGCCCAGAUAAAAAGAAAACAAUUUCAUGCAGAAAGAAAGUCCCGAAACAUGCCAAUUGAAAGUCACUGAAAUUUAUAAUCAGGUACUGCAGAAAAAAAAACCAAAUAAUAAAAUAAUCCAAAUUCCAUUUCAUCAAAAUGAAUAAUAAAGAAAAAAAAAGAAUAAUAAUAAAAAUAAAAUGCAUGUAGUGAUUUGGAAAUAAGGAAGAGAACCUGCCAUGCAGAUUCGAUGAUGAACGGCAUAGCGAGAGGAUAGGAGAGAAGUGCCACUGCCAAGUUACACUGAGUUUCAGAUCGAUACAAACAUUAUUUUAUUCUAUUGUAUUUAUAAUUCUGAAUCUAUGGUUUUUGGUCAAAAAUAAUAAUAUCUCAGAUUUAGUUCAUAUGCACUUUUUUCUUUUUCUAUAAAAAGAGAGACUAGAAAUUGUAAUUAUAGUAAGAUUAUAUCUUUUUUUUUAUAAUAAAUAUAAUAUUAUCUUUUGUUAAAAAAGAAAUAAAACUUUGUGAUAACUGAUAGCAAAAAAAAAAUUAAAUAAAAGUAAUUUAGAAAUUAUUUAUAGAAGACUUAAAGAAAAAGCUAUAAGUCAAGGAUGAAAAAACAUUCAAGUUGAAAAUUAUUCUGCAUGUUAAAACAAUUUUUUAAAUUAAUAUGAUAAAAAAGACAUGGAACAAAAAUCUUAAUUAUUUUAAACCAUUAAAUAUAAAAAUAAUUUUUUUACAUUUUUUUUUAUUUUCAAAUGAAUUUUUUUCUAUAUCAAAAUUUUCCAUCCAACUCAUCUAUUCUAUUGAAUUUUUUCAAUUUUAAAAAUUUAGGAAAUUUUUUAAAUUUUGGAAUUUUUUUUUUCUGAAUCUUUCUUAUUUAAGAAAAAAAAUCUGAAUUAUUUUUAAUUUUGGUAUUUUUUCAACGAUUUUCUUAAUUUUUUUAUUCUAGAAAUCAAUAUUUGGAAAAAAAUCUGAAUAAUUUUCUAAUUUUGGAAAUUUUUUAAUUUUUAUUUCAGAAGAAAAAUCUUAAUUUUUUUUUUCGAUUUAAAAAAUUUUGGAAAAAAAUCUGAACAAUUUUUAAUUACAUAAAUUUUUUAAUGUUUUUUCAGAAAAUUUUAUUUUAGAAAACAAUAUUUGGAUAAAAAUCUGAAUUUUUAUCUAUUUUAAAAUUUUUGGAAAAAAAUCUGAAUAUUUUACUAAUUUUUUAAUUUCGGAAAUUUUUUAUUUUAGAAAUCAAUAUUUGGAAAAAAAUCUGAAUAUUUUUCUAAUUUCGGAAAUUUUUUAAUUUUUUUAUGAAUUUUAAUUUUAGAAGAAAAAUCUUAAUUUUUUUUCGAUUUAUAAAAUUUUGGAAAAAAAUCUAAAUAUUUUUUAAUUUCGGAAAAUUUUUAAUAUUUUUUCAAAGUUAUUAUUUUAGAAAACAUAUUUGGAUAAAAAUCUGAAUUUUUAUCUAUUUAAAAAUUUUUGGAAAAAAAUCUGAAUAUUUUUCUAAUUUCGGAAUUUUUUAAUGUUUUUUGAAUUUUUUAUUUUAGAACAAAAAUCUUAAUAUUUUUUUUUUACGGUGCAUAAGUAUUUUUAUUUUUUUUAUAAGCAAGGAGAAUGGACAGACAUCAAGAGGCAACAUCGACAUCCCAACUAGGUUGGCACUCCGAGAAAUCUCCAUCCUAUGCCGCCAAACUCUAAAAAUUUUAUUAAAAAAAUGGGAAAAUUUCCUUUUUCAAAGCUCCGCCAGGUAUAAUCUCUUCCAUUGAAUCUCUGUUAAUUAAAUUUUUUUUUGGGGGGGGAGUGAGGAUAAAAGAAAAAUAGUUUGGAUUGGUUGGAAUUCUGAGUCUCAAAAAGGAGUAUGGAGGGUUGGGUGUUAGAAGGUUAAGAGAGUUUAAUUUAGCCUUGUUAGGAAAAUGGUGUAGGCGUUUGUUAGUGGAGAGGGAAGGGUUAUGGCGUAAGGUGUUGGUGGCUAGGUAUGGUGUGGCGGACGAAAGUUUGGAGGAUGGGGGCCGGAGUUGUUCUUCUUGGUGGAGGGAGAUAGUCAGGAUUAGAGACGGGAUAGAUGAGGGUGGGGAGGGUUGGUUUUCGGGUUGUGUCAGGAGGAGGGUGGGGGAUGGUUCCGAUACUGAUUUUUGGCGGGAUUGUUGGUGUGGUAAUGUUCCGUUUCGUGAGCACUUUAGACGGUUAUAUGAUUUGGCCGUCAACAAAGUAAUCACGGUUAGAAAUAUGUUUUUAUUGGGGGUGGAGGUUGGUGGUGAGGCGUGGAAGUGGCGUCAUCGGUUAUGGGCGUGGGACGAGGACCUAGUAGAGGAGUGUAGGGCUUUAUUACUGACAGUUUCUUUGCAGGAAUCUGUUUCCGAUAGAUGGUUGUGGUUACCGGAUCAGGGAGGUGGUUACUCAGUCCGUGGGGUGUAUGACAUGCUGACAUCCCAGGAACAGCCUCAGUUACAUUCUUCUAUGGAUUUAAUUUGGCAUAAACAGGUACCUCUAAAAGUAUCUAUUCUUGCUUGGCAGCUUUUGAGGAACGGCUUACCUACGAAAGGAAAUUUGGCAAACCGUGGCAUUAUUUCUAUGGAGGGGCGGUUGUGUGUUUCCGGUUAUGGGCAUGAUGAAGAUGUAAAUCAUUUGUUUUUGUCUUGUCCAUUUUUUGGUGCCUUAUGGUCUUUGGUGCGGGAGCGGCUGGGGGUUGUAGGCGUUGAUUCUCAGUCUAUGACGAAUCAUUUUUUGCAAUUUAUUCAGUAUGCUGGUAGUUUGAAAUCACGUCGAUCAUUCUUCCAUUUGAUUUGGCUUCAGUGUUUUUGGGUUUUAUGGAAUGAGCGGAAUGAUAUAGUUUUUAGAAACAUGCAGAGUUCUUUAUCACAAAUGUUAGACAAAGUAAAAUCAUCUUCUUUGUGGUGGUUAAAAGCUAGUAAUGUUGUUUUUAGCUAUGGUAUUCAUAAUUGGUGGUCGAGCCCUUUGGUUUGUAUGGGCAUCGGUUGAUAACUUGUGUAUUCUUGACAGGGUUUUGUUUUCUUCCGUGAUUGUUUAGCACGCCUUGUGCUGUAACAAUUACGUUUGUGGUAAUAUAUAUUUCAUUUUGGCUUGUUCAAAAAAAAAAAAGGGGAAAAAUAAAUACAAAGGAGGGGGGACUAGGCCAAAACCCUCCAAAGAGAAAACAGAAAGCAAGAAAAAAAAAACAACAAAAAACACCAUAAAACAGAUUAUGGUAAUCUGUAAUUGGGUAAACCACAUCUAUCCCUAAAGUAUUCACUCAUUAGGGAGAGAAGACAGCUAAACCAAUCCUUGCACUGAAUGACCCAUGCUAGGUCCGCAAAAAAAUCAGAACAAGUUUAUGAGACAUAUAUAAAUUUUUAAAGAAAUCUGAGUAUCAUAAUUACCGAUACCUCUAACAUUCCAAUGGAGGAAAUUCAUUGAGCAGUAUGAUGAUUAUCACCCCGAGCACGGGUUUUAGGGGGUUGCUUAGCCAAGACUUGUUGCACUUUAAUUUUCUGUUUCUGCUUCCUUGUAAGGACCGAUGUGAAGUCUUCAGCAGCUGACCUUGCAUCAUAUUCACGAACUCUGUCCCAUAGAUCUAGGCCAUGUUGAAUGUUCUUGCUGUAACGCCCUAGUCGUUAAUUUAUUUAUUUUGGAUUUAUUUAGAGUCUUUUAUAUGAUUUUAAAUAAUAUUGGUGAUUUAUGUGGUGUGAUAUAUUUUAUUAUAUAGUUUAUUUUAAUAAUAAUUAGAUUAAGUGAGAAAUUAGUAUUAUUUUGGAGUGUGGGAAGUUAAUUAAUAUUUAAUAGAAUUAAGGGGAGUUUAAUGAAAAGAAAAGGGAAGUUACUUUUUGGGAGUUAAGAAAAGAGAAAAAGUCAGAAAACGUUUUUACGUGAAAACUGUCAGUUUUGGGAAAAAGGGAGAGAAGAGCAAGUAGAGCAAAGUUCAUCAAUUCAUGUGCAUUUCUUUCUGCAAUUCUAAGGUAAGGGUGAGGUUUGCUUCAUUAGUAUAGAUUCUAAAUUCUGAUUUUUGAGUUUAACAAGUUUUGGUAGAAAAUUGGGAAUUUUAGGUUUAUGUUGAAUUAGUGGGUUUGAGUGCAAAGACUGUUGUUUUGAUGUUGGAAAUAGGUUCUGGUUGCAUACAGCAUUUAGUUUCAUAUCUUUAAACUGAUUUGGGGAGUGGAAUUGAGAAAAUUGGGAUUUUGGGUAAAAUUCUGGGUUCUGGUCGUGCUGAUAUUCAUCGCUCGCCUCGCGAGCAGAACCACUCGCCACGGCGAGCAAGUGCCUGUGAGAUCAUGAUUUUUGAAGUGUUGUUAUAAGCUGUAAAAUGGAUAGUUUUAAGUACCUAGAUGAUUUUAGAGAGGUAUGAGACAAUUUUCAGAUUAAAAAGAUGAAUAGGUAACUUAAAAAUGAGGUUUUAGUGAGAAAAAUGUCAAAACUCCCGAUAGCACCUGUUUUGAGUUCGCCACGGCAAGCAACCUUUUUCUUGUGCUCGCCAUAGCGAGUAGAAGUACUCACGAGGCGAGUUGCCCAGUUUUCUGAGCUGUUUGUGUUUAAUUGAUUAAUGUUGAUUGGUAUUGGUGUUUAAGCAUGAUUAUGAUUAAAUUGUGCAUUUUCUGGAAUGAUUGAAUUGAUUAUAAUGGUUUGUUGUUGACUGGGAUGUAUGCUUCUAUUUAAUUAAGUUAUACAUGAUGUUGCAUUAAGGAGUGGUGAGUCAUAUAAAUACAUAUACAUUGUUGGAGUUGUAUGUAGAUAUACACUAGUGGAGUUAUUUGCAUAAGCUUAAAAGCGGGAGGGCUUCGGCCCUGGAACGCCUUGUCGUUCAAAGCGGUGGAACACUUUGUUGUUCAAAGCGGUGUUUAGCGGUGAGGACUUAUGUCCUGAAAAUGAAUCCUUUAACCAUUCAAUUAGCGGUGAGGGCUUCGGCCCUGAUUAUGGUACCACAUGCAUUGUAGAGGAGUCUUAAUGGAGGUGUCAAGUGUUGCAUGAGUUGCAGUUAUUGGUUUUAAUUACCGAAUGUUGUUGAUGUUGAUAAAUGAUGUUAUUAUAUAUGUUGAUGAAAAUAUUAUUAUGAUAGGGUGUUAGAUUCAAGUUGAUGAAUUAUUUAUCUAUAUUUUUGUUGUGAAUCUCACCCCUUCUGCUUGAAAAUGUUGCCCUUCCUAUGGGUAACUUGCAGGUGAUCCUGAGUAGUAGGUGGUGGCUCAAAGUGUCUAGGGCUCUGAUACGUGGGAUGAGAUUUAAUGUCACCUUUAUUCCUAUGUAUCAAUUUUUGAAUAUUGCUGAUGUAGCCCUAUGGUUGUUGAAUUUAUGUUGUUAAGGCUUUUAUGCCAAGAUUUAAUUAUUGGAGAAUUAAUAUGUUGGAUGUUGAUGUUAUUUAAAUGUUGAAAAUAUUCCGAUGCAAGGUUUUAAUGAAAUGAUUAAAGUUGGUUGUUUAUUAAAUAGUUUUAUAUACUAUUUAAGAAAUUUUGAAUUAGUAGGGUGACAUGCCCGUUUGGGAAUUACUCUGAUGCAUGUUUAUUUAUUAUUUAAUUGUUUUGGGUAACGGGGUGUUACAAAUGGUAUCAGAGCAUGGUUGAUCCGUCCAGCCUAGUAGUAGAGUCGUGUUGAACCACCUAGGAUAGAGUGUCAACUCUAAUGUUGUUUCUUGUUGUUCUGAUUUGUUGUUUCUUAUGAAGAAUCUUAAGAUGGCUGGUCGUAAUGAUGUUGCUAUUGCUGCUGCACUUGAGGCUGUAGGUCAAGCUGUUCAACAGCAACCGCAGGCUGGAGCUGAUAACGGUGAGGUGAGGAUGCUGGAGACCUUUUUGAGGAAUCAUCCACCAGUAUUCAAAGGAAGGUAUGAUCCUGACGGUGCCCAGAAGUGGCUAAAGGAUGUGGAAAGUAUUUUCAGGGUCAUGCAGUGCUCAGAGGUGCAAAAGGUGCGGUUCGGAACGCACAUAUUAGCUGAGGAGGCAGAUGAUUGGUGGGUAAGUUUGCUACCUGUGUUGGAACAGGAUGGAGCUGCAGUAACCUGGGUUGUGUUCAGGAGAGAAUUCCUGAAUAGGUACUUCCCGGAAGAUGUCCGAGGAAAGAAAGAGAUUGAAUUUCUGGAGCUGAAGUAGGGUGACAUGUUUGUCACAGAGUAUGCUGCAAAGUUUGUGGAACUUGCUAAGUUCUACCCUCACUAUACUGCGGAGACAGCUGAAUUCUCCAAAUGUAUAAAGUUUGAGAAUGGCUUGAGAGCUGACAUCAAGAGAGACAUUGGGUAUCAGAAGAUCAGAAACUUCUCUGAAUUGGUUAGUAGCUGCAGGAUCUAUGAGGAGGACACGAAAGCUCAUUACAAGGUGAUGAGUGAUCGAAGGAGCAAGGGACAGCAGAGUCGUCCGAAGCCGUAUAGUGCUCCUGCUGACAAGGGAAAACAGAGGUUGAAUGAUGAGAGGAGACCCAAUAGGAGAGAUGCUCCUGUUGAUGUUGUUUGCUACAAGUGCGGUGAGAAAGGCCACAAGAGUAAUGUUUGUACUAAAGAUGAGAAGAAGUGCUUCAGGUGUGGUCAGAAAGGACACACUUUAGCUAAUUGUAAGCGUGGUGAUGUUGUUUGUUAUAACUGCAAUGAAGAGGGCCACAUCAGUUCGCAAUGUACACAGCCGAAGAAGGUUAGAACCGGUGGAAAAGUGUUUGCAUUGACUGGUACGCAGACUACUAGUGAGGACCGACUUAUCAGAGGUACUUGUUUCUUUAAUAGUAAUCCUUUAAUUGCUAUUAUAGACACUGGUGUUACUCAUUGUUUCAUUGCUAUUGAAUGUGCUUAUAAGUUGGGUUUGGUUGUAUCUGAUAUGAAAGGAGAAAUGGUUGUUGAAACUCCAGCAAAGGGUUUAGUAGCUACUUCUCUUGUUUGUCUAAGGUGUCUGUUGUCUAUGUUUGGUAGAGACUUCGAAGUCGACUUAGUUUGUUUGUCGUUGAUGGGUAUGGAUGUUAUUUUUGGAAUGAACUAGUUAGAGUAUAACCGAGUUCAUAUCAACUGCUUUAGUAAGACGGUGCAUUUUUCUUCUGCUGAAGAAGAGGGUGAAGUUGAGUUCUUGUCUACGAAACAGAUGAAACAACUAGAACGUGAUGGAAUUCUGAUGUAUUCUUUAAUGGCAUAUUUGUCGUUAGAAAAUCGAGUUGUGAUUGACGGGUUGCCGGUGGUGAAUGAUUUUCCAGAAGUGUUUCCUGAUGAGAUUUCUGAUGUGCCACCAGAGAGGGAGGUUGAAUUUUCAAUUGACCUUGUUCCGGGAACGAAGCCGGUGUCGAUGGCACCUUAUCGUAUGUCAGCUUCCGAGUUAGCUGAAUUGAAGAAACAGUUGGAGGACUUGCUUGAUAAGAAGUUUGUAAGACCAAGUGUCUCACCGUGGGGAGCGCCUGUGUUGUUGGUAAAGAAGAAGGACGGUAGUAUGAGGUUGUGCAUUUAUUAUCGUUAGUUGAAUAAAGUUACAAUAAAGAACAGGUAUCCACUUCCUAGGAUUUAUGACUUGUUGGAUCAGUUAGUGGGUGCAAAGGUUUUCAGUAAGAUUGAAUUGAGAUCAGGUUACCAUCAAAUUAAGGUGAAGGAUGAGGAUAUGCAGAAGACGGCCUUUAGGACACGAUAUGGUCAUUACGAAUACAAGGUGAUGCCUUUCGGUGUUACUAAUGCGCCUGGUGUGUUCAUGGAGUAUAUGAACCGAAUUUUACAUGCUUUUCUGGAUAAAUUUGUGGUUGUAUUUAUUGAUGAUAGUCUGAUUUAUUCUAAGACUGAAGAGGAGCAUGCAGAGCAUCUGAAGAUUGUAUUGCAAGUCUUGAAAGAGAAAAAGUUGUAUGCCAAGUUGUCGAAAUGUGAGUUUUGGUUAAGUGAAGUAAGUUUUCUUGGCCACAUUAUUUCUGGUAGUUGUAUUGCAGUUGAUCCAUUGAAAGUUGAUGCAGUAUCACAAUGGGAGACCCCGAAGUCAGUGACUGAGAUCAGAAGCUUCUUGGGUUUGGCUGGUUAUUACCGCAGGUUUAUCGAGGGAUUUUCGAAGUUGGCACUUCCGUUGACUCAGUUGACCUGUAAGGGUAAGUCUUUUGUGUGGGAUGCUCAGUGUGAGAGUAGUUUCAAUGAGUUGAAGCGAAGACUAACGACUGCUCCUAUUUUGAUUUUACCUAAGCCGAAAGAACCUUUUGUUGUUUACUGUGAUGCGUCUAAGUUGGGCUUAGGAGGUGUUUUUGAUGCAAGAUGGAAAGGUGGUACCGUAUGUUUCUAGGCAGUUGAGGAUUCAUGAGAAGAAUUAUCCUACGCGUGAUUUGGAGUUGGCUGCGGUAGUUUUUGUAUUGAAAAUUUGGAGGCAUUAUUUGUACGGUUCCAGAUUUGAGGUGUUCAGUGAUCAUAAGAGUCUAAAAUAUUUAUUUGAUCAGAAGGAGUUGAACAUGAGGCAGAGGAGGUGGUUAGAGCUGUUGAAGGACUAUGAUUUUGGUUUGAAUUACCAUCCUGGUAAAGCCAAUGUGGUUGCAGAUGCCUUAAGUAGGAAAACGCUGCAUAUGUCUGCCUUAAUGGUGAAAGAAUUCGAUUUGCUAGAGUAGUUCAGAGAUUUGAGUCUUGUCUGUGAAUUGACACCUCAGAGUGUUCAAUUGGGGAUGCUAAAGAUUAAUAGUGAUUUCUUGAAUAGUAUCAGAGAAGCGCAGCAAGUGGAUGUGAAGUUUGUUGAUUUGAUAGUUGCUGGUAAUGGCACUGAGGAAAGUGACUUCAUGGUGGAUGAUCAGGGUGUAUUGAGGUUCAGAGGAAGAAUUUGUAUUCGUGACAAUGAUGAGUUGAAAAAGUUAAUUUUAGAGGAAAGUCACAAGAGUAGCUUGAGUGUUCAUCCGGGAGCUACAAAGAUGNGAGUUAGCUGAAUUGAAGAAACAGUUGGAGGACUUGCUUGAUAAGAAGUUUGUAAGACCAAGUGUCUCACCGUGGGGAGCGCCUGUGUUGUUGGUAAAGAAGAAGGACGGUAGUAUGAGGUUGUGCAUUUAUUAUCGUUAGUUGAAUAAAGUUACAAUAAAGAACAGGUAUCCACUUCCUAGGAUUUAUGACUUGUUGGAUCAGUUAGUGGGUGCAAAGGUUUUCAGUAAGAUUGAAUUGAGAUCAGGUUACCAUCAAAUUAAGGUGAAGGAUGAGGAUAUGCAGAAGACGGCCUUUAGGACACGAUAUGGUCAUUACGAAUACAAGGUGAUGCCUUUCGGUGUUACUAAUGCGCCUGGUGUGUUCAUGGAGUAUAUGAACCGAAUUUUACAUGCUUUUCUGGAUAAAUUUGUGGUUGUAUUUAUUGAUGAUAGUCUGAUUUAUUCUAAGACUGAAGAGGAGCAUGCAGAGCAUCUGAAGAUUGUAUUGCAAGUCUUGAAAGAGAAAAAGUUGUAUGCCAAGUUGUCGAAAUGUGAGUUUUGGUUAAGUGAAGUAAGUUUUCUUGGCCACAUUAUUUCUGGUAGUUGUAUUGCAGUUGAUCCAUUGAAAGUUGAUGCAGUAUCACAAUGGGAGACCCCGAAGUCAGUGACUGAGAUCAGAAGCUUCUUGGGUUUGGCUGGUUAUUACCGCAGGUUUAUCGAGGGAUUUUCGAAGUUGGCACUUCCGUUGACUCAGUUGACCUGUAAGGGUAAGUCUUUUGUGUGGGAUGCUCAGUGUGAGAGUAGUUUCAAUGAGUUGAAGCGAAGACUAACGACUGCUCCUAUUUUGAUUUUACCUAAGCCGAAAGAACCUUUUGUUGUUUACUGUGAUGCGUCUAAGUUGGGCUUAGGAGGUGUUUUUGAUGCAAGAUGGAAAGGUGGUACCGUAUGUUUCUAGGCAGUUGAGGAUUCAUGAGAAGAAUUAUCCUACGCGUGAUUUGGAGUUGGCUGCGGUAGUUUUUGUAUUGAAAAUUUGGAGGCAUUAUUUGUACGGUUCCAGAUUUGAGGUGUUCAGUGAUCAUAAGAGUCUAAAAUAUUUAUUUGAUCAGAAGGAGUUGAACAUGAGGCAGAGGAGGUGGUUAGAGCUGUUGAAGGACUAUGAUUUUGGUUUGAAUUACCAUCCUGGUAAAGCCAAUGUGGUUGCAGAUGCCUUAAGUAGGAAAACGCUGCAUAUGUCUGCCUUAAUGGUGAAAGAAUUCGAUUUGCUAGAGUAGUUCAGAGAUUUGAGUCUUGUCUGUGAAUUGACACCUCAGAGUGUUCAAUUGGGGAUGCUAAAGAUUAAUAGUGAUUUCUUGAAUAGUAUCAGAGAAGCGCAGCAAGUGGAUGUGAAGUUUGUUGAUUUGAUAGUUGCUGGUAAUGGCACUGAGGAAAGUGACUUCAUGGUGGAUGAUCAGGGUGUAUUGAGGUUCAGAGGAAGAAUUUGUAUUCGUGACAAUGAUGAGUUGAAAAAGUUAAUUUUAGAGGAAAGUCACAAGAGUAGCUUGAGUGUUCAUCCGGGAGCUACAAAGAUGUACCAUGAUUUGAAGAAACUGUUUUGGUGGUCCGGUUUGAAGCGUGAUGUUGCUCAUUUUGUGUAUGCAUGUUUGACUUGUCAGAAGUCUAAGGUUGAACAUCAGAGGCCUGCAGGAUUGUUGACACCGUUGGAUGUGCCGGAGUGGAAGUGAGAUAGCAUUUCUAUGGAUUUUGUGACGAGUUUACCAAACACUCCGAGAGGGCAUGAUGCCAUUUGGGUUAUUGUCGACAGGUUGACGAAGUCGGCACACUUCAUUCCUAUUAAUAUUAGUUACCUGGUAGCUCAGUUGGGGGAGAUUUAUAUUCAUAACAUUGUGAAGCUACAUGGAGUACCGUCGAGUAUUGUGUCGAAUAGAGAUCCGAGGUUCACUUCUAGAUUCUGGAAGAGUUUGCAAGAUGCUUUGGGUUCGAAGUUGAGGUUGAGUUCAGCUUAUCAUCCUCAGACAGAUGGUCAGUCGGAGAGGACGAUCAAAUCAUUGGAGGAUUUGUUGAGAGUGUGUGUGCUUAAGCAAGGUGGAACUUGGGACAGUCACCUACCGUUGAUAGAGUUCACAUACAACAAUAGUUACCAUUCGAGUAUUGGUAUGGCACCGUUCGAAGCUUUGUAUGGUCGGAGGUGUAGGACUCCUUUAUGCUGGUUUGAGUCAUGAGAGAGUGUCGUGUUGGGAUCGGAUUUGGUUCAUCAGACUACAGAGAAAGUCAAGAUGAUAAGAGAAAAGAUGAAAGCGUCGCAGAGUGGACAGAAGAGUUAUCACGACAAGCGGAGAAAGGCCCUUGAGUUUCAGGAGGGUGAUCAUGUAUUUCUGAGGGUUACUCCUAUGACGGGUGUAGGACGUGCAUUGAAGUCGAGGAAGUUGACUCCAAAGUUCAUUGGUCCGUAUCAGAUAUCGGAGAGGGUUGGAACAGUGGCAUAUAGAGUUGGUUUGCCANNNNNNNNNNNNNNNNNNNNNNNNNNNNNNNNNNNNNNNNNNNNNNNNNNNNNNNNNNNNNNNNNNNNNNNNNNNNNNNNNNNNNNNNNNNNNNNNNNNNNNNNNNNNNNNNNNNNNNNNNNNNNNNNNNNNNNNNNNNNNNNNNNNNNNNNNNNNNNNNNNNNNNNNNNNNNNNNNNNNNNNNNNNNNNNNNNNNNNNNNNNNNNNNNNNNNNNNNNNNNNNNNNNNNNNNNNNNNNNNNNNNNNNNNNNNNNNNNNNNNNNNNNNNNNNNNNNNNNNNNNNNNNNNNNNNNNNNNNNNNNNNNNNNNNNNNNNNNNNNNNNNNNNNNNNNNNNNNNNNNNNNNNNNNNNNNNNNNNNNNNNNNNNNNNNNNNNNNNNNNNNNNNNNNNNNNNNNNNNNNNNNNNNNNNNNNNNNNNNNNNNNNNNNNNNNNNNNNNNNNNNNNNNNNNNNNNNNNNNNNNNNNNNNNNNNNNNNNNNNNNNNNNNNNNNNNNNNNNNNNNNNNNNNNNNNNNNNNNNNNNNNNNNNNNNNNNNNNNNNNNNNNNNNNNNNNNNNNNNNNNNNNNNNNNNNNNNNNNNNNNNNNNNNNNNNNNNNNNNNNNNNNNNNNNNNNNNNNNNNNNNNNNNNNNNNNNNNNNNNNNNNNNNNNNNNNNNNNNNNNNNNNNNNNNNNNNNNNNNNNNNNNNNNNNNNNNNNNNNNNNNNNNNNNNNNNNNNNNNNNNNNNNNNNNNNNNNNNNNNNNNNNNNNNNNNNNNNNNNNNNNNNNNNNNNNNNNNNNNNNNNNNNNNNNNNNNNNNNNNNNNNNNNNNNNNNNNNNNNNNNNNNNNNNNNNNNNNNNNNNNNNNNNNNNNNNNNNNNNNNNNNNNNNNNNNNNNNNNNNNNNNNNNNNNNNNNNNNNNNNNNNNNNNNNNNNNNNNNNNNNNNNNNNNNNNNNNNNNNNNNNNNNNNNNNNNNNNNNNNNNNNNNNNNNNNNNNNNNNNNNNNNNNNNNNNNNNNNNNNNNNNNNNNNNNNNNNNNNNNNNNNNNNNNNNNNNNNNNNNNNNNNNNNNNNNNNNNNNNNNNNNNNNNNNNNNNNNNNNNNNNNNNNNNNNNNNNNNNNNNNNNNNNNNNNNNNNNNNNNNNNNNNNNNNNNNNNNNNNNNNNNNNNNNNNNNNNNNNNNNNNNNNNNNNNNNNNNNNNNNNNNNNNNNNNNNNNNNNNNNNNNNNNNNNNNNNNNNNNNNNNNNNNNNNNNNNNNNNNNNNNNNNNNNNNNNNNNNNNNNNNNNNNNNNNNNNNNNNNNNNNNNNNNNNNNNNNNNNNNNNNNNNNNNNNNNNNNNNNNNNNNNNNNNNNNNNNNNNNNNNNNNNNNNNNNNNNNNNNNNNNNNNNNNNNNNNNNNNNNNNNNNNNNNNNNNNNNNNNNNNNNNNNNNNNNNNNNNNNNNNNNNNNNNNNNNNNNNNNNNNNNNNNNNNNNNNNNNNNNNNNNNNNNNNNNNNNNNNNNNNNNNNNNNNNNNNNNNNNNNNNNNNNNNNNNNNNNNNNNNNNNNNNNNNNNNNNNNNNNNNNNNNNNNNNNNNNNNNNNNNNNNNNNNNNNNNNNNNNNNNNNNNNNNNNNNNNNNNNNNNNNNNNNNNNNNNNNNNNNNNNNNNNNNNNNNNNNNNNNNNNNNNNNNNNNNNNNNNNNNNNNNNNNNNNNNNNNNNNNNNNNNNNNNNNNNNNNNNNNNNNNNNNNNNNNNNNNNNNNNNNNNNNNNNNNNNNNNNNNNNNNNNNNNNNNNNNNNNNNNNNNNNNNNNNNNNNNNNNNNNNNNNNNNNNNNNNNNNNNNNNNNNNNNNNNNNNNNNNNNNNNNNNNNNNNNNNNNNNNNNNNNNNNNNNNNNNNNNNNNNNNNNNNNNNNNNNNNNNNNNNNNNNNNNNNNNNNNNNNNNNNNNNNNNNNNNNNNNNNNNNNNNNNNNNNNNNNNNNNNNNNNNNNNNNNNNNNNNNNNAGGUGAUCCUGAGUAGUAGGUGGUGGCUCAAAGUGUCUAGGGCUCUGAUACGUGGGAUGGGAUUUAAUGUCACCUUUAUUCCUAUGUAUCAAUUUUUGAAUAUUGCUGAUGUAGCCCUAUGGUUGUUGAAUUUAUGUUGUUAAGGCUUUUAUGCCAAGAUUUAAUUAUUGGAGAAUUAAUAUGUUGGAUGUUGAUGUUAUUUAAAUGUUGAAAAUAUUCCGCUGCAAGGUUUUAAUGAAAUGAUUAAAGUUGGUUGUUUAUUAAAUAGUUUUAUAUACUAUUUAAGAAAUUUUGAAUUAGUAGUGUGACAUGCCCGUUUGAGAAUUACUCUGAUGCAUGUUUAUUUAUUAUUUAAUUGUUUUGGGUAACGGGGUGUUACACUUGCUGGGAUGUACAUGUUGUUGUUGUAAAACUACAACCUCUUGAGCUUCUGGUAUUGUCAUGCUAGCGCUAGCUUCAAGACACCUCUUUACAACAACAGGUGACGCCAAGGAAGGGCGUGACCCAGAAAGAGUUUCAACUUGCUUAUCACACUCUUUUUCCCAAAGUUCCAUAUCAUGUCGAACUCUAUCGUUGUUGUGUUUCUCCGGAACGAUAAUGGAUAAAGAGUUAUUAUCCUGAGACCCAAUCGUAGAGGCAGCCACCAAAGGAUCAGGUACAGACAAAGGAGUGGCUUGAGUAGGUAUUUGGACUGCUGCCAAAUCUAGAGGGAUGGAAGUAGUAGUAUUCUUGGGCACAACUGUUGCAGUACCAUCUUCAUCAAUAAAAAAAAACAACGUCAUCAUGAUCAUCCUAUUCUUCGUCGUGUUCGACAGAAAAAUUAUUUUGAUUAACUGGAAGUGUCUCGGAUGAAAGUUGCACGUCAUCAUUCAUUACGAAUUCUGCUAGCUCCAAAACAUGUGUAUUAGGCAGAGGUAGAUUACCUUGAGGAAUAGGUUCAGAAAAACCUUGCAAGUUGCUGCAAGUGGUACCUGUUGCAUCACCGGCUGCAGCUGAUGGCAGAGGGACAACAGAUGUUGCAAUAUUAUUGGGGAUGGCAACUGCUGUUGGGGGAACAACAUCGCAUGUCUCAGCAGUUGGUGGGGGACAACAACACAUGUCUUAGUUGUUGGUGGGGGGACAGUAGUGUGUGCAUCAACAGUUGGUGUGGGAACAACAACAUGUGUCUCAGCAGCUGUUGGUGAGGGAACGUAACAUAGUGUGCAUGAUGAAGAAGCUCCCUUCCCAACACGCGGUGGAUUGGUAGCUGCAUCAGUAACCUACUUCUUUCCACGGUCAGGGACCUUAAUAACCUCUGGGUUCAACCUCUUACAAUUCAUGACAUUAUGUACAAUGACAUAACAAUGAUGACAAAACAAAGGACGUCUUUCAUAUUGCACUUCUACGUUAAAAGCAAAACCCUCCCGUUCAACAAGGAUUUCAUCAUAAACCCGCUUCGAUAAGUCAAUGUCCACAAGAAUGCGUGCAUAGUGUCCGAAAGCUCUAUUACGUGUCGGUCCAUCAAUAGAAAUAGGGGUACCCACCGCACUCGCAAUUUCUUUCAAUGUUCUUUCGAGCCAAUACUCCUGAGGCAAAGCUACAAAUCUGAUCCAUAAAGAGGCGUGGGUUUGUGUCUGAACAUUGUGGUUAAAAUCCUUCGUCCAUUGGGAGAGGCGAAGGAGUCCUGGUUGUAGUGAAACCAUACCCGAUGUCCAAGUCCGACUGAAAUCAACCUGAUGUUCAAAUAAAAAAUCGUAGAAACCCCGACCAAGAGGAAUCAUCUUCCAAAGUGUUUACCAAAGUUGAAAUCUAAUAUAUUCAGCAAGUUCCAACAUAUUUUUCACGUUCUCAAACAUAGUGUAAGGGAAAAUCUUCAACGGGAAAAUGAAGCUUAAAAAAUAAAUAUUACCUAGCUUAUACGAUUGAAAUUGAACAAAUCGAGGAAGCUUAGAGAAUCCAAUUGAAAUCACAUCCUAAACAUGCACAAUAUCAAUUCAUUAAAUCAAAACCCUAAAUAAGGGUAAAAUCUACUUGAAGUAAAAUAUCUAUCACUAAAAUCACUUGCUUGUAUCCCUCCAAUUCUCACUAAACUCCCAAGUACUUAUGUGUAAGCACCCUAAUGCCCUACGUAACCUCUUGAAACUGUCAAUGAAUUGUAGUUGAUCCUAACACACAACAGACUUAUAAAAUGUAAAGGUUUAAGUCCAUAAAGGUGGAUUUGUUGCUUCCUCUUCAACUAACUUCUUACUAACCGUUAGGAUUUGUUUGUCUUAGGUUAACCUAUUAUUUUCCAAUAGAAACCCCCAACAAGUUGUUGAAAUACCUAUAGCAAUCUUCACCUACCUAUUGACACUUCAACGCUAGCUACUCCUAUAACUAAGCCACGUUCAUCGACAUGAACGAAAAUUCUCCAUCAUUUGAUUUACGUCAACCAUUAACAAUACUGACAAGCAUAGAAAACGAACCAAUAAGGACAUAGAAAAAUGAAAAACCCAACAUACACAUGUCAUAUCAUUGCUAUGUCAUUAAGGAGAUCGACAAAUCACCAAAAAAUGAUGAGGGACUAAAGAUAAUCAAGAAUUGUAAAAUAGGAAGACCAAAAUAGUGGUUUUAAAAAUGGAAAGACUACAAUUUAGAUUAAGUUUAAGUAAGGAAAUAAAAAAUGCAUUUAAAUCUUUAAAGAAUAAUUNNNNNNNNNNNNNNNNNNNNNNNNNNNNNNNNNNNNNNNNNNNNNNNNNNNNNNNNNNNNNNNNNNNNNNNNNNNNNNNNNNNNNNNNNNNNNNNNNNNNCUUCUUCUUUCAAUUAUUUCAUUUAUCUUUUCCAUACCAUUUAUUAAGGAUAAUUUUGUAAAACAACUCAUAAUUUCUCUUCCCCACACAAUAUUAAUUACAUUUCUUAAUACGUAUGAAAUGACCAAAACAUCGUACAAUUUGGGAUGGAGGGAGUAUAAGAUUAACACAAGUUCUUCUUGUAUAUACACAACUAUUUGAGACUUUAAGAAACACUAAACAUUUUUUUCUUCAGCUUUUAUAUCUCAAACAUCAAACGACAUGAACAAUAAAACUGUAGAAAAAUUAAGCUUCAAUGUUUCCAUGUCGGUCGGUAUUGUGUUAUUUUUAAAGGCUGAUAUUACUUGGGCUCCACCAUUUAUGUGUCGGUUGGGUAACCGGCAUAUGAAUGGAGUGGACUCAAGUAAUUGUUGCAUUUAAAAACAAAACAGUUAUCACUAGAAAAACGUUGAAGCUUAACUCAUAUAGUUUUAUUGUUCUUUGUCGUUUGAUGUUUGAGAUAUAAAAAUUAAAGAAUAAGUUAGUAAUGGUUUUAUGCGAAUUUUUCAUGCCGUUAAUGGAUGGGAUGAUUGUAUAACUUUAUAGGGAUUUACAAUUUUUAAUCCAUGAAAUUUGAAUUUUAAAGGUAGGCAUAGCUUUUUGGGUGGUGACCGGGGUUUGAAAAUCCCGAAAUUUGAAUAUAUUAUGUAUUGUUCAUGUCAAUUAAGCUAAAAUCACGAGGAAAAGGGAGGCAUAGCUUGAAUGCCUAUAUAACUUUCCUUAACAUUUUUAAAUUUAUUAGGCCAUAUCUCUAGGUUGGUAGAUUAGGUAUACAAUCAUAUAAACCAAUUUAUAAUAUGAAUAUUUUCUUUUAAGAACAUUUAGAUCUUAUUGGCUGUUAUUUUCAACGGAUUAAUAUGAUUAUUUGGCCAUAUAAUCAAAGUUCAUUCAUUUUUUCUAUUUAAUCAUGGCAAAGGGAUGAACCACGAAGAUGUUGUGAAAAUGAUAUCUCUUGGCACAAACAAUCUGAUUACGAUGACGAGGAUAAUGUUGCUUGGUUCAAAUACAAAUUGCCAGAGUUGUUGUUGUUUGUGCUCUCGAUUGCACACAAACCACAACAACUCGGGAGGUUUGAAUUUGAACCAAGAAACUCUAUCUGAUCGUCGUAAUCAGAUUGAUUGUUUGUGUCCAAGAGAUAUCAUUUUCACAACCUCGUCGUGGUUCAUCCCUUUGCCAUAAUUAAAAAUGUUUUCAACUAUCUCUUAAAUUUGCUCUAGUGUUCUUACCAAUCUAUUUUUCAUCCCAAAAAAAAUUGUUGGGAGCAUAGACUCAAAGAGUUGGUGAGACCCAAGACCUUCAUAGCUAGAAAUAUUGGAUCAUAGUUAGAAAUAUGGAUGUCUUAUAACCAUCUGUAUUAUAAAUAAAGUUAUGCUUUCAUGUAAAAUUCAUAUCAUGACAAUAAAAAUGUGACUACUGCAACGUAUAUAGCCGUAAUUUAUGAAGCAGAAGGAUUAAUAUGUAUGUUUUUAACCAUGACUAUGUCAAACACUAUAUGUUGUGGACAAUUAGUUGCUUCAGCCAGACUAAAUCACUUAAUUCAUUUCAUAAAUCAGAGAAGUUUGUUGCUUAACUUUCUUAGAAUUUCCUAUUCAUACCGAAAAGACUGAACAGUUUAGUUUAUAAGAAUCUGCUCAUUACUGUAAUGAUACAAGAUUAUGCAAUAUGUCAAUGUUUAACUAAUUCUUUGCAAAUUUUGAUAUCCCUUGUUCACUCGGCGACUUUCUUUAAAGUUACCUUAGAUAUUUUAAAAAUGUAAAUAGUAUGUCUAUGUUCAAUCAAGAAUUUAAAGCUACACUGAUUAUGAUGUUUUUGUUGGACGUGCGUUUUAAUAUAGUAACUGUAACACCUCCUCGAUGCCAUUUCUAUGAUUCGGUACGAAAAUAUAAUUAUAUUACUCGUAAUUUACAGUAAAAUAUUACACAAACCUAGAGAAAUUGUACACCGAAAUGUUAGUGUUAUAUCUAAAGGGAAUUCAUGGCUUCUUCCAAUUUUUUCUUAAGAGCAUCCAGAGACUCUGUCAAAUGAAAAACUUCUGUUUCUUCCAUUUCCACAGACAAUGCAGAAAUAUUUCCGGCAUGAUCACGCUCAAGUCAUUUCACAAUCGGCGAAUCUUCACCCAAAACCUGCCAUACGGAAAGGAUCAAUUCAUAAGCACACCAGUAUGAUGGAAGCCUAAGCAUGCAAUAGUUGAAAUACUAAAACAAAGUGUUCAUCUACUAAUCAUACCUCAGCUAUAGUUGAAAUUGCCAUGAUCGUUUGCAAUCUUUUGACACUGGAUUUUGAUUCAUUAUGUUGUAAUGGUCUGAUAAUUUUAUUAAUUUCAGGACCAAAGUUGCUGCUACCAAGCAUGGAAUCUGCUUCGUCCAAUACCUACUUAAGGAAAAUGAAAAACACAAAUUUAAUUAAUGUUUGGAGCUCCCAAGAACUGAUAACCUGAAAGUCUUUACAUAGUUUACUAGGGAUAUUUAUGUUUUUAGUCUGUUCACAUAUAUUAAUGUUCAGCUUUGGUCCCUAAAGUUAAAAAAAUUCAACAUUCAUCUCUAAAUAUAAGACCUUGAUAAAUUUCCUACUAAACAUGGAUCAAAUUACGCCCUAAUGUUAUAUCAUAAACCAUAUUUGGAUCUAACUUAUUAAUCUCUAAAUCUUUCUUAAGAGUUUCUGUGACAGUUUUAUUAGGUCCUCCUUUGUCUCUACUCUCUAGUGAUCUGACUAUCCUCCAUCUGAUCUAUUCUCCUUACUACAAAGUCUAUAGGUCUUCUCUCUACAUGUCCAAACCACCUAAGUUUGUUUCCACCAUCUUUUCUACGAUAGGUGCUACCUCAACUCUCUCUAAUAUGGUCAUUUCAAAUUCCUAUCUAGUCUUACCACACAUCCAACGCAACAACCUCAUAUUACCAUACACUGACAGUGUAGAUAAAUUAAUUCCAUAGAGACUGAAAUGAAGAUACUUUUUCCUAUAGAGACUAAAACAGGAUAUUAGCAUAAAUUGGAAGAAAAAAAAUAUAUUAACGUAUUCAUAAAUAAGUGACACUAACCAAGCAUUUUAAUUCAGCAGGAACAAUAGUCCCCUCUUCAAUGUAUUGAAGGAUCUCAUAAGGAGUUCCAAUCAUCAAGCCAAUUGAGGAAUUUGAUUUUUCGGUAUCUGAUGAAGCACGAUUCUUUGCGGACUUCACUUCUGCAUUAUGGAUGAUAUAUCUUGCAGCAUUAAAACACUGCAAUGCAAAACAAGUUGUAAAAAUCAAAACCAAAUCAAGAAUUGAAGAUGCAUACUCUAUAGAACUAAUCAGACAAGAUCAUGAUAGUAUGUAGUUGGGAUAGAGUGACCUGUUCAACUUUCUCCUCUGAAGCACAAAGAACAACGGCUCGAGGAUACUUUGAAUUAGAACCAAGCAACUCUCUAUCUCGUCGCAGCAUCUUUAGACAAGGAAAUAAUGAAAGUAGAAGGAACAAAACAAUAGGAUUAACUAUCAUAAAUAAUGGACAGUGUUUCAAAAGGAUGAAACAAGUUGGCAUAAUGAAUUUGGAAUAUGAUACUGAGAAAUCUUCUGUGUGAUUUUACAGUGCAAGACAAUAAUGAGGAACCAAUAUAGAACAGUUUACCUUAACAUCAACCUGAAAUAAAUGAAAUCAAAACCAUUUUUUUUUCAAAAUGUAAACCAAGAUAGUGGUUGUGAUAACAGUUGUGAUGGUGUCGUGAUGCUUAAUAUUUCGGAGAACCACGGUCAAAUGUGGCUGCUGUUUUGGACAUAUCAAACACCUCUAUGUCACAGUCCAAAUCGUGGUCACGGACCAUUAUUUAAAACAUUGGCAAAAACCUUAAUUUAGGAUCUGUUUUCCAUGUUUUCUGGUUUCAUUUUCACUUCAACUAAAAAACAUGAUACAAUAUAAAUUCAAUAUUUCCUUCGCUAUUCUCUUUUACAACCUUUCGAAACAUAUUCAGCAUUUUAAGAAAUUUUUAAAAUGACAAAACACAGUUGUCCCUAGCUAGCAUUGUAUCUUGCCUCUAUCACAAAUAUUCAUCAAACAAGUCUUCUAUCUCCUUAUUAGCACUUUAUAAUCAACGCCAAUCUCACAAGGAGUUCCACUUUUGGAGGAGACAAAAUUGAAUCUAGAGACUUAUAGUUAAGUUUGACAGGUUCGGGCUAUGACUAUUAGAUUUGAUUUUGCAUUAGAAUCAAUUCUAACUUAAAACAGUGUUAAGUUUCAUACUUAACACUGUUCAACUUAAAAGGGGGUAGUCUAGUGAACUACAGCUCCCGCAUACACAGAGUCUGAGAAAGGGUCCCACCAUUUUGGUUUAUUGUAUGCAGUUUUUUACCCAAACAUAAUCUAGUAUUGGUUUUAAUUACAGUCAAUUAUUUAUUUCACAACAAACAUUAUGUUUGGAUAAAAUCAAUUUCACAACAUCAAUGCAUUUAAAAUCAAUUGUUGUAACCGCAGAACCAAACAUACACUGCUAUACAUUCAACUCACUUUUAACUAAAACCAGUUCAUUCAAAACCAAUUUUUUCACAUCAGAAUCAAACAUUCACUAAAUAAAAAACCUUAAAAAUUGAAAAGGCUCAAAACCUUAUGUAAGAAAAGAGAAUUUCAUGAACCUGAAUAAGAGGCAACAAGUAAGCCAAAGUCCUAUCAUGCUGAGAAGGUGAACUCAACAACAAACUCUUCCCAUCCAAAAUAGUUGGAAUAACAACACACUGUAUCUCACUUGGCACAAACUCUCCAAUCUCUUCCAUAACCUCAAUCAGCUCAUCACUCAUACCCAACUCCUUAAAGCCACCAACCACCAUAGUACCAUUUUUCAAACCAUUUUGAAUCAUUUUCUCAUCAUUAGUAUCAUCAAAACUUGAAUUUAAAACUGAAUUUGAUGACCCUUUGAGUUUUCUUUGUUUGAACUGUUGGAGAAUGAGUGAAUCUCUUUCAGAGUUGGAAAAUGUUGAGAAAGAAGAAGUUGGUGGUAGUGAUUUUGAGAGUGGUUGGUGAUGAUUUUGAAUUUGAGAUUGUAGAGAUGAAAAUGAGAGGCUUAGAAGCUUUGUGAUUCUUCUUUUCAUGGCUUCUCUUUGUGAUUUUUGGUUUUGAGGAAAGAGGGAACAGAGGUUGAGGUUUCGGAGCUGCUGCCAAGGUUUUGUGUUUUUUUUUUCGUCAAAAAAAAUGUUUAUGUCUUUUUUUUUUUAGUUUGAUUCUGUUGGGUUUGUUUGGUUGGACAAAAUGAACCAUUUCCAUGGGAAUUACACUUUCUAAGAAAUGUUGCUUACACUCUACAUCUUCACUCUGCACUCCCCUUUUUUGUCAAUUUUUUUUCUCCAAAAUUAGACGAAACUUUUUUAUUUUUAAAUAUGUAUUCGUUUUUAUUUGUUAAUACGAAUAUAUGAGACUUUUCCCCUAAAUAAAAUUAGAUAUCAGACUUUAAACAAUGAAUCAUUGUAUUGAGAGAUAUAAAAUGGUAGCUUUGAAUGAUGUAUUUCAAGUAAUAAUAAAAACAAUUCUUUGUUUUUUAACAAAUGAGAUAUAUUAUAAAUAAAAUUGAUUCAUCCUGCAGGCUUGCACAAGUCGUGCAAAAGAUAAACCAACCAAGAAUAUUUACAAAAUCAUAGUGCCAGAAAUAUGAAAGCACUAACAAAACAGGCAAAAAAAAAUUACACGUGGACACUCAUACAAAGGAGAGAAUGUUUCCACCGUUCAUGAUAACUAUAGCUAAAAGUCACAUGUUUUAAUUUCAGCCGCAAGAAUGAGUUUAGUUUAACUUUUUCAACUAGAAUAGAAGAAUUAGAAGCCGUAUUUUGGAAGACAUGAUUAUCCCUUUCCUUCCAAAGUACUCAAACAGAAGCAAACCAAAUUAUUCUCAGGAAGGAAUGAGUGAAUCUAGGCAAACCCGCCAUAUUAGUAAACUGAAGGAAAUGAUGUCGAAUGUCACCUGAUAAAACCGAAGAAAUACCCAAUCAGUGUCACACAUGAGACCAAAGAGAACCGAAUAUGUCGCAUCCUAAAAACAAAUGUGUUGGCGUUUCCGAGUCCCCGCACCCUGACACACACGCCGUAUAAUUAGGCUGAAGGACAUGCCGCCACACCAAAUUGUCUUUAGUAGGAUGUCUGUUUCGAAGGAGGCACCACACAAACAGAGACACCUUUGAAGGAAUAUACUUAUGUCAGACGUUGUCAACAAGAGUCCUAUCCAUGAAUAGGAUCUAACAACCACCUCCAAGUAUCAUGAACUUUUCCUGCAAAACAACGUUAUGAAGUAACACAGAACACUCCCUCACACUCUCCUCCUCCCAUGCUAACAAUCGGGGACGCAACACCCACCCCUUCCUCCAUCCGCCCAUCCUAACUUCGACAACUCCUCCACCAAACACUCCUUAUUCACAGCCAAAUAAAAAAAUCAGGAAAAUUUAAGACUCAACGGAAUUUCUCCUACCCAAUUGUCAUGCCAAAAUAAAAUAUUCCUUCCAUCACCGACUAACCGACAGAUGUUAUCAUCAAACCACCUCCCAACAGCCUCACACACCCCCUCACAGAUCCUACUCAACGACCACCAGCAAGAAGAACAAUGGCUGCCCCCUCCUUCAACCGCCCCCCACCUCACCGUAUCGAGCUUUUAGAACUCGGUACAACAACCCCUCAUUAUAAAAACAACUCUUUUAAUACUCUCAUUGUUUUAAAAAAGAAUACAAACCAUUCUCCAUUCAAAAAUCUUUUACCUUAUUUUGAUUA
rnacentral:lncRNA from 1 species